rnacentral:lncRNA from 1 species
CAGUAGUCAAUAGACAAUUGAUGUUGCGGAAAUCUAUUCUCGAAAUAGGAACAGCGCAAGGUUGGGUAAGUAGUAAACUAUGGCAGAUGAAGUCUCACGUGAGGCCUGAGUAAAGGAACAAAAAAGAAAGAGCAACGAUUGUUCCCACAAUCUGCGAUGAUUGAAUGCAAGAACCAAAAGCAGAAGAAAGACCAUGCUUCGUUAAGUUUGAAAAAAGACCCAGUUGUGCAAUCGCACGUUUCGGAGUGCUUGUUCAUAAGUGCAUGAAUUCUAUUCGCGCAAGAAGGAAAGAUCAUGGCAUACGGGAAUCAUUGAAAUGACCUAAUCCAAAUAACCCUUCAAAACAUAUCACCUAAAAAGUGCGCAGCGACAGUAGGCUGUUAACAGCGCGACAUCACACGACAAUGCUAAGCUACCAAAGGCUCCAUGACCGCUCAACGCAGUGCUUCAGAGACUUGAAAUCUCUCGAUCAUUCCCAUUCCUUCAAAAAAAACUACUAAAAAUAAUAAUUGUGAUGAGAGUUUCCCUGUGACCUUGAACGCACACCUUGAUUGCAGUUUUUGGACAACAAACCAAGGCAUUCGUAUCAUGGAGCAACUUUGGGAACCGCAGGCAUGUGAUUAGCAGGCUCAAGCCGGUGCCACACUGUCACAUGGUGCUGAUACUUGCGAAGCUGCUCCUCAUUACACGCGUAGGCAUCACCACAUGCUUACCUUGCACAUGCUCAUCAUUUGAUCUGCAAUGUUGCAAGCUUUACUGCUUCUAAUGCUUUUUAUUCUUCAUCAUGGUCUCUUUCAAUUUUCUUUCAAAUUUCCUCCUUUCUAUUGAAAAAAGAAAACAAAACACUCUCUCCGUCAAGGACUGCACAAUUACACACCACCACCAAACUACGAGUGAUGUACCCCAAAGUAAAACAACGCUGGUUAGGACUUAACCAUGUCAAUGGGACAGAGCUGGGGUGAUUGUGACAAUGGGAGCUGCUGUGCAUGGUAGUGGAUGAGUAGAGUCAACUUGGCCUGAUCACAAGCAAGGAACCCUCAUCGCCAACUCCUUGACGUUCCUGUUAUUGUGUAAUUAGUGACUUAGAGAUGCACUUAGUAAACCCUAUUUUACUGUCACAUCCUUGCAUUAUUUAAGUAGGUUUGGUCAUAGGUUGGUUUUUAGGAAGAGAUUGUAGAGAUUUUUUUUCAAAUUUAUUUUAAUUAUUUUUUUAUUUUAAUUAAAGAUAUAAAGAAUAAAAAUUCUAUUUAUUUAUUCAUUUAGAUGGUCGAAUUUUUUUUUCUUUAAUUUAAAAUUAAUUUUUCAUAUUAGAUAAAAGAAAUUUUUUCCAAGACAACAACAAAUUUGAAACUAUUCACAAUUAGGAGAAUAUUUUUUUUCUAAAAUAGAACAAAAAUUGUAGCUAUAGUACCUUUCUAUUCUCCGCUAAUUUUUUUCUCUACCACUCUUCUUUUUUGUUCUUUCCAUCACUCUUUCCAUCGCUUUCCACCAAUCUUGCUCAUUACACUCUUUUCCAUUGUUCUCCAAAGAUUUUGCUCUCUACUAGUCUUACUUAUUGUUGGUCUUAGUUUCUAAUGAUUUCUAACCUCUAUCACAUCUACUCUCCAACCUCCACCACAUAUGCUCUCUAGUUUUAAAUAGUCCCACUCUCCAACCACUGUCAUGUUACCUCUCUACCUCCCAACAUUUCCACUUUUCAAUUUCUUUCACAUUCACUUUCAGGUCUCCAACAAGUGAUAAAAUAAUAUUAUUGUCACUUAUUCAUCUAUGCAAGACAAUGGCUUUGGAUGCAACUUCCACAUUUUCAUGAAUCAAUGCAAAGAUGGCUUAUUCUAUGUAAUCACAUUUACUUGGUACAAUGAAAAUUACUCUACAUUUCUACAACCAUUCUGCCUCCAAUAUAAUGUUCUUGUAGAGUUUGUUAUACCUAUGAUGCAUGAUGUCCAAGUUUUGUGACCACAUGACAUUUCUAACCAUAUAAAGAUGCAAGUGAAAGCAAAAAAAACGUAUGUAGGAAUUUGGAGAAGCCAAGAAAUCCACCAAAAAUGCUUUGUUAUUGGCUACAAGCUUGGAUUUUAGAAAAUAGCCGAGCUACUUGUUCAACCACAAGUUACCAAUUCUAAGAACUCUACAACAAUUGACAUGAACAACCAUGAGUGUUUUUUUCAAGCACUUUUGUACCUUGCUACAUAAAAGAUUAUUUUUAUACAUUGUUGUUUGAUGAUUACAAUUGAUGUGGCUCAUUCAAAAGCUACUUACAAAGGUGUUACUUAGGUCUUAGUAGCAUCAAUGGAAAAAGCUAGCUUGUUUUUAUUGCUUUUGAUAUUAUAUUAGUCAAAAAUACCAAAAACUAGAUCUAAUUUUGUAAACAAGUUCCACAUGCAAUAUUAUUUUUGAAUUUGCAAACAAAGACAGCAAUCAAAAAUUACAAAAAGAUAAGUUUUCAAUUGAAAUGUAAUAAUGAUAGAACAUCUGAACAUCAAAAAAAUGAAAGAGUAGACUAACAUAUUAUUUCUUAAUAUUCUUAGAAGAUAGAGCAUAAAAUAGUCUCAAAGCUCUCAAAUAUAGUACAUGUAUCUUACAUCUAGUACAAAAAGAAGAACGUAAAUAUGAAGUUUAAGACAAAAUUCAAUGACAAGAUUUAAGUGGCUACAAAAGCAUUGAUAGUAGAUGCACACAAGGCUACCAUGGCAAAAAUCAAUAAAAUACACCUUAAAGCGCAUACAUAUCUAAGAAGAAUUAUGUCUAAUAUUUGAAUUUUCAAACACAUAAAAAUCUCAUAUUUUAAAAUAUUUAUAUUAAAUUAAUAAAUAAAUAAAUAAAAUAUCUGUUUUUUUUAUGUAUGCUACAAAGAGUGGUUUGAUGCACUCAUCCAACUUCUUUGUAAGACUAGUGCUUUUUUCUUUAAAUAGCACAAUGAAUACAUCUAAGUAACAUGUGAUCCACCACACUCUAUAACUAAUGAGCUAUACAAGAGGACUAUAGAAGAUCAAAUAUGCUAGGUGAUCUAAAUGAAAACAUACAUCUUUGAAAUCCAAAGCUUCACCAUUCAAACCUUAUGUAUUGUUGACCAUAUGGAGUAAACUUGUUUUUAUAGAUACUUUCAACAAUACCAAUUCUUGUACAUCUAUGCAUGUACACAAGCAAUAGAUUUGCACAAAAGUAUCAAUUUUUUUCUUCAUUCUUUGUAUUUAAGAAGCUCACUUUGUUAGGUCUAUACUAAUGUUAUAGUGUAUGUAGACAUAAAUACAAUUAAUGUGGAUGGUACCAUUGUCCUACUCCACAAAAUCAAACAAGCAGAUUAUUUGAGCGAGAUCCAUAUUUGUAGUCAAAAGGAGGUUGAUUUUGAAUACUAAAUUACUUGCAAAAAGUUUUACAAGAAGGAUCACAACUAUUGUACUUAUAAUUGUUCUCACUAUUGAUGAUAAAGGUUGUUCUUAUUAUGGCAAAGUUAUUACCAUUACAAAAAACUUUUUUCUUCAUAGUAAUUCAUUUGCAAAAAAUAAAAUCGGAGAUUAUUUUUGAAAGGUUUUAUACAAUAGUAACUAUUUCAAGUUUGAAGUUGGUAACUCUUUAAAAAAAAAUUCUUUGCAAAUGUGAUAUUUGAAGCAAUUAACUAUUAAAGUCAAAAAAGUGAUGUGUUGCAUUAUUCACUAACAAAUCUUUUUGUUAGGCUAUUUUACAUAUUUUCAACAUAUAAAGUAAGCAAAAAUAAUCGUUCUCCUAUUUGUUUUUCUAUUUUUUAAAUACCUUCAAGUUUAUUUUUCUAUUCAUAAUUUUUUUUAAAUUUAAGCUUUAUUUUUAAAUAUUCUAUGUCUAAAUAUUAUUUUAUAAUAAUGAUAUUAUAUCAAGUGUUCUUUUGGAAAAAAAUUAUCACAACAAAUGACAUUAGCAUCAAAUCUCAAUAUAAUAAUAUUUUUGUGGUUUUUCUUUCAAAUAUUUAGAAUGUAUUUAUUAUCACCAAAAAUAGCCUUUUAAUUCUUAUUCUUAUAUAAAUUUUUUUGCUAACUUAUAAUGACUUGCCAUUGAUAGUUUAAAAUAUAACCACAAAUACACAUUGUAUUUUGUAUAUAUAAAAGAAAUUUAAUUAGAAAAUUCUCAAUUCUUUGUAUGAAAAUAUGUCCAUCUCUAUUAUCUUCUAUAUUACAUUUUUAAAUAAAAAAUAGCACCAUUUUUUAAUAAUAUAUUUUUAAUACAUAAUAUUGUUAUAUUGAAUAUAAUUAUAAGUCUCUUAAUUAUUAUAAAUAUUUUACUAAUUUUUAAUUCUUACAAUUUUUACUAUUAGCAAUACUUAAUUUUUUUGUCUAAAUUCUUAUUUGAAUUUAGAUGUAAGAUAAUAUAUAUUUCUUCUAUAUAAUUUUUAUGAUUUUUGAUUAUUUAAACAUCUUUAAAAUAUAAUUUUAAGUAAAAAUAAUACUUAAAAAGUAUUAAAAUAUUAAAAGAAUUUUUUACAAAUUUUAUUUGAUAAAAUCAUAUUAAAAAUAUUUUUUAUCUUUAAUUUUUUUUAAACUUGUUAUAUGUUGUUUAAUUUUUUAUUAAUAUUUUAAGAUUUUGGUACUAAAUUAUGAUAAAGUUUAUAAAUAUAUUUUAAGAACUUAAUAUUUUUAUUUUUAAAAUUAUAUAUAUAUAUAUAUAUAUAUAUAUAUAUAUAUAUAGUAUCUACUCAAUCCAACAUAAUUUCUACAUAUCAUUUCUUUCUAAAAUAAUUAUACUAUUUCUAUUAUCCACAAUAUUAUUUAUAUUAUAUCUAUAUUUAUCUACUUUUUAUCUUAAUAUCUCUUGUUUAGGCCAAUUAUUAUUAUUUGGAGACUUAUUGUUAUUAUGUUUACUUUUAAUUUUAAAAAUAUCUAAAAUUAAUUUUAUUUCACUCCUUCAUCUAUAAUUUUAUUUUAAACUUUUUAACUUUUUUAUCCAAAUACUUCUCUAUCUUCUCUCACUUCUAUUUUAUGUUCAUGAUUUGGCCUCAUGUACAUACAAUUCUAUAUGGUUUUUGCUAGGCACUUGGCAAUCCACUAAAUUUUACAAAAGUCUAUAUUUAUUACUACCUACAUAGUAUAUAUUAAUGAAUGUCUUACCAUCUACAAAAAACUUAUUAGUCCAAAUUUAUUAUUGGCACAAUAAUAUAAAUAAUACUUAAAUUUAAUUUAAAAUCAUUUAUUCAAUCUAUUUCUAUUUUUCCAUUUUAAGCAUUAAUGUUUUUAUGAUUAUAAUUUUAAUAUUAUUCUUAGUUGUUGUAAGUCUAUUUUGUAACUUGUUGAUUUUUCUUAAUAAAUUUUCUUGAUUUUAUUAAAAUUCUCUAACUUCUUAUUAAAAUAAUUAGAUUGUCUCUUCUUUUCUUUUCUUUAUAUACUUGUCAAUUCACCUAUGUAAAAUACAUGAUGCAAAUAUAUAAAUGCAUAAAAAUAAUUCCACCCAUAAACAAUUCUAUUUGGUAAAAACCUCACUUCUUUUGCGAUUUUAAGUAUGACCUUAAGCUGUCGACUAGUCUAUUUGUAAUAUAUCCUCCAACUUAAUUUCUUGCAUUAUGUGAAGAUGCAAAAAAUAAAUAAAUAAAACAACUUAACCCACAAGUACAUGGAUUUAGCCUUCCUUACAUUCCGACUCUGGCAACCCAGUUUGCUUGUUGGUCGUUCAAGACUUUUCUAAUGAAUUCCUUCAACCGAAAACAAUGGUUCCUUUUGAUUUUUUAUUUAAGAAAAGGUCACGGAUACAUUGUGGGGUGUGGCUCAAUGCACCAGCCGUGGAGAUAUUUUGCAUUGGAGUGUAAUCGUCGGUGAACUUGACCAACAAAAAUAAUUCGUGACCAUUUUUGCUACUGUUACUACAUGUGUUCGAUGUUAAGAAACCCGAUGAGAGACCCCGAACACGGAAGAUAAAAAGAAGCAGCAGUUGGUCUUGUGAAGUAUUUCAAAACUUCCCUCAACACUCAAAACGCACUCCAUGAACCGUAUCAUUUCUUCGUUCUCUGAUGUAAACAAGCACACACUCUGUUGUUCUUCGUGUUCUGAUACAAACUUGCACACACUCUGCACAAGGCCAUUUUCGCAAACCUCCUCUGGAACCAACAGCUUCAGAAGGUACGCACCAGUGCACCUCCACGACUUGUGUGGUGAGCAAAUCCCCACAACCCCACAUUGAGGAAGAAAUUAUUGAGACCUUUUUUAUAAUCUACAUAGCCAAUUACCCUGGCUAGUCGACAGCUGACUAAACUAAUUCUUACAAAUCUCUUUUUACAGCGAAAUUAUGUAAGGUAUGCUCGAACCAUCUAGCUAUUGUGACAGUAAAUCUUCCCUCGUGCACCGAUCAAUCGGCAAAUUGACACAAAAUUAUUGAUAGAGGUCCGCACGACCACGGUAAACAGCUGCAUAAAACCAUAUAUCAAGAUGUUACUUUGGCUAACACUGCAGGUGUGUAACUGUUAGCGUCGUUUAUUUGUUACGCCCAAUUCAGGUCUCAGUUCACUGAUCUCAUUCAUGUGAUGUAUUUUCCAGGGUUGAAAGAUAUGAAUUGCGACAGAUGGGAAGCAUCGGCGAAUGUACCUUUACAAGUAGGAAUGCUAUGAACCUCGUGAAGAAAUCAAACAAACCGAUAGAGAUGAAACUUCUACUGUGGAUAAAGAGGUGAGAUAACUCACGGAGUCUGUACAUGACGUUAUUACCAUUUCAAGCUGAGGCUGGCCCAUUGUAUGAGGAUCCUUUUGGUUUUUUUCAAGGGAAAUAAAAAGAAAGUAUUAAUAUUUUAUAUAUUGGAUUUAUUGCAUGCUAAUAUAAACUAUUAAGAAAACUUACAACAAUGAUUAGUCGCAUUGGUAUGAAGUAACAUCAAAGAAGCACUGUAGGUGCUUAUCAACAAACAGAAAAUACGAGGAAGAGUAGGGUAGACCAUCCACCAGGUCGUGAAAAACCAGUCACAUACUAAUUUAUUGAAUCAACCGAGUUCCGAAGAAAAAGGUGGAGUAAAUACCCACUACUCAAGCAAAGAUCAAGCUCUGCUGUUAAGAAAACUAAAGAUCCAUGCUAGCGAUUACAGAACAAAGAAACCGAACCAAAAUACCAAAAAACGAAAACAAUAAACAUGGACAUCAAGGAUAUGUAUACAUUAUUUUAAGAAUUAGAGGGAGGAAAAAAAGACAAAACAAGACAAAACACAAAAAUACAGAAAGCACAAUUUGAUACUUGUUAUUCGAAGUCCCUUCUUCAUCAGCAAAGGAAUACAACAGGUAGCUUUUCAAGAGCAGACACAUUCUACAUAAUACUUGUGCAUAGACUUCUAUUCAAGUCAACGAACUAGAUGACUUCAUAUCGCCAGAACGCGCUUAGAUGGCUCCAUGCCAGUACGACAGGGCCCUCCAAAAAUUAUAUGAAGUUAUACCAGUCUGAGAAACUGAUUAAACGGCUUUGCACUACACAUUGAGACACCCGUGCAAAGACUGCAAGCUGGUUUCAAACCACAAAAAGUAGGACAUAAUACUUCUAACAACAUGAUUGGUUGCAAAUUCUUUUCACUGCUGAAAGGCUUCAGUACUUGACUUAUCAGAACAUGCACGUUUCGAAAAAGGCAACGCUGGACCAUCCACGUAAACCUCGUCCUCGGAAGACAGUGCAAGAAGUGGUGUACCUAUCAAUACCGCAGCAUAUCACCUUCCACUCCCAGCGGAGCCUGUGGAAACAUAUUCAUUGGUCCCAAAUGAGCUGAUCGACGUCCAUCAACCCCAAACCAUCUUUCAACGCCUCCAUCGCCACCAUAGCCGCCCGGAGUAGUGCUUUUGCUGUUCAUCAUCUGAAAUUCUGGCUGAAAGGGGCCUAAAAGUCCCCCCGAAGGCACUGGGUUAGACAGACGUUGCUGCUCAUGCAUGUGCUGACCAGCUGGUACCAAAACAGAGCCUGUUCCUGCAGAAAGCUGUGGUUUAAAACUUUCCUGCUCUUGCACUACCAUUCCAUAAUGAUGUAAUUGGGGGCGCUGAAGCAUCUGAGGCUGGCCCAUUAUAUGAGUUGGAGGAUGCGAAAUGGAGCCAGGGAAACUGUGCGACGGUGGUUGUAUGAUAUGUGGAGCUGAAAAUCCAUCAAAUCCCCCAUCCAAUCCAUUGCUAUUGAACAACGGACCAUGCGCUUGUUGUCGAAAGGAGGGAUGAGGAAAGCUGACAUUAGCGCUACCAAGCUGUGCUCGUUGCUGGUUAGGUUGCCCAAGGGAUGAGCCCAAGUGUUGCAUUGAUGCAGCUGGCAAAGUUCUAUUAAUCGUAACCACUUCGUCAUGGGUCUGCAAAGUAGUACCUCCAAAAUUGGGAGUUGCUCCGUUCAAAUUAUCCAUGAACACAUUGUUGUGAUCGUUGGUAGCGUCAGGUUUCCUCCAUAAUCCAGGGAUAGAAGGUGCACUAGCGGUCCUAUCUUCAAAGUCUUCAUGUGUAGUGCGAUUCAAGUGUGAUUCUUUCAAGGCAUGACCGGCCUUCACAUGACCGCCAGCUUCCACAUCGUUGCUGUCUGGCCACAUGCUGUUCCAUCCGGGUCCAGAGCUUGCAAACCAAUCUCGAGGACCACCCAUACCAUUUGACCUUGUUUUGGUGUUGAAUUCUCCAUUAUGCAUCGGAAAGGAAGCCUUUUCCAGCUCACUCUCCUGAAUUGCGAGACCAUCGUCUAAAAACAUCCUAACUGGUGCUGCUGCUUCGGGCGUUUGCAACUCAUUCAAAAACGCUUUGCCGAAUAGCGACGCCAAUGUAUGAACUUCAUUGAUUUGGUUGUUGCUAGGAUCUGAUUUCUUCCAUGCCUGUUCAACGCUCGGCUUUGCACUUGUAUCCUCCAUAUCCAUGACCUUACUAGGCAGCCCUGCUUCUAAAGUAGGAGGUUUCUUGAGAAUAAGUGAAAGAAGGUGUUGAGAAGCACUUGCAGCACUCUUGGGUGGGGUCUCUUCUUCUGCCAGUGAGAGGGGUGUAUUUGUCUCAAGCUGAGGGCCACUCCCAGCAGCUUCAGCCAGCAAUGCCUGCUCGAUGUCCUCACAAGUCAUGAACACCGGAGGCGUAUUGGGAACCUGUUUAUGCUGUGCAAUUGAGUUUUCUGUAAAACUGUUAUUGGUAACAGUGUGGUUAUUGGGAUUAGGGACUUUCACCAUGUUUGCCAAACCUUUCUCAAUGCCCUCCAAGGAUGGACCCACAGGCAUAGGAAGUACAUUGAAUCCAGACAUCAUGAAGGAGCCAAGUCCACCAAUACUUUGGAUGUCUUUCUCCAACGGAGCAGAGUUCUUAGUAUGCUCGCUACUUCCAAACAAAGACAUGAGAUUUUUGGAGCUGCUUGUUUGACUUGUUGUAAACUUAUCUUCUGCAAUCUCCCAUUGACGUUUGUAAAAAUACCAUACGAAGUUUACCCCAAGCAGUAUUAAAGUCGAAAGAGUAGACAAGUAAGAUUGAAAAGAUAACACAAUAAAUUGCUUAGUUGAUUAGUCCCAACACAAAAAUGACUGACAACAGAAUAGAUAGAGGGUGCAUCUUUGGCUUGCUAUGAGCGGAACAAAGGAAAAUUAAGCGGCCAUACCUUCCGCAUGAAACCAGUGAGCGAAUUUAGAUGCUUUUGAAAGGCUUCCUGACCAAUUCUCUUCAUCUGAAGCUGGGAUAAGGGGCUGGCACGUUAUAGGAAUACAUCAGGAUCCAAAUACUUCGAUUAAAAAGUGGCUGUUUAAAAAUUCAAGGUGCGAUCUACCGCUCAGGACACAUUACGCACGAUUACACAUUAUACUUAAAACGAGACGUUAUACUUUACAACAAAGACAAAACUGUGCAUUUCCACAUGUCUCCAGCCUAAAAACAAGAUAAUUGGUCGAAAAGAAAAAACAAAACCAAAAUACUCUCUAACUAGAAACCCUAAUAAGUACAGCAUAAGGAAUGUCACGCAAAAUGUAGAUACCUCAUUCUUAGAUAGAUCAGAGGGAAGGGCAAAAUCAUCAAUGGUUGUUGGUGCGGCGUUUCCAAAUAGCUUGUCAAGCAAUGACUCUUUUCGGAUACUGGAUGCAUCUUCGGUGGAUAGAAUAUCACUAACUGAAUCUAGGUCCUGGCCCUCCAGAUUAAAACUCCACAUAUCUGGCAGCCCUGCUGAUCUCUUCCUUUCGAGGCUUCCUUCAGAGGAAAGAGAAUCAUUUCUGGUAUUAUCCUUUGUAGCUUCAGUAACUACAACUUUCGUUUCAACAUCCGAGUCUACAUUCAUUUUGGCAACUGGAGUUGCAAUCUUGAUUUCUUUGAUGUCAGCUAUGCUACUACUCGAACGAGCUGAAGGAUCACCUGUCUUAUCAGGAUCCAAUAAGUUCUGGUCCUUAACCGAAUCAUCCUUUGAAUGACGACCAUGAUUACCUUGUGCAUCGUUCUACACAGCAAAUUGAAUGAUCAAAUAAUUGUAAGCCAAAAGUUUACAUCAACUAAAAAUCUGUUCACCACAUUGUUCUAGGUAACAUGUAACCACCAGAUAUUGAAUCGAAACAUGUACUCAACUGCAAAGAUUAGUACCUGCUGUAGGGGUGUUUGAUUUGAAUUUAGCCGCUGCUGGAGCACAUUUGAAAAACCAGGCGGAACAGCAGGGCGAGGAGGGGUUGGAACAGGAGUUAUAGCAGUCUUGGGAACAGGUGAGAGAGGAGGAGACUGAUGAGAGGGGUUAUCCCAAAGACUAUUCUCAUCAUGUUUCAGAUUUACAGCCGAUUUUCCUGACUUUGUCAAGGAUUGUUUUUGUUCUUGCACAUGCCUGUGCUGCUCUUUACGCAUCAAUUCGAAAGCCUCUGCACACAGCAUUUCUCUUGCUGAAUCAGAUCUGGUAUAUGGUUAAACAAUCAGUUCAGCAUCAAAAUAGAUAAAAGGGCGGGAAGCAUGUUAGGUUUCACAGUAUGCAUAUCUCACGAGUCUAGACUUCACAGGCUACACAUCAAGUGCGCAACCAAUGAAUGUAGAACGUCUCGGACAAUUCAAAGGUUGGCACAAACAGCAAAACAACUACAUCUACGGCAGAAAAGAAAUAAAAAUUGAUUGAAAAUUCUCAUGCCUGAAUCACAAGUGGAAUAACACUGCAAUUACAUGAUGAUCGGAACAACUAACCAAAAUGGUUGCGGAACUGCAAACCAAAACAAUGUAAAAUUUACCAACAAUCUAUACUCACCACGACGCUUACGUUCCUGAUCGGAUCUAUCAUCGUGAGAAGAUUCUAAAAACCCAAACGUUUCAUCAUUCACAAUGUCAGUAUCUUCGCGACGUCCAUACACUGGCGCCUGCAGUAAACAAUCCACAAAAACAGCAGAAAAUAAGUAAAUCCGACAACAAUGAAGUCCGCAAUUACAACCAAAAUGUUUACUUUCUUGUCACUAGAAAUCAUCCAGGUCUGCAAAAUAAUAAGGCCUUAAGUUAGCGACCAGAAAGCACAAUCAACCAAGAACUGGCCAGGCAUUACUGAGAUGUAGCCAAGAGCAAACUAUGACUUCAACGUACACGCUAACCAAGUGUCGAUCACAAGAAUACAAACAAGCCACACAAACCAUACCAAUAGACAUUGCAUGCUUCAGUUACACCAAAUGAGUGUACCGCAAGAGCACCUACCUUAACACGAGGGCGAGAAGGCUGGUAAUUAUCAGCUGGUCGGCCCACGCGGGUGUGCGCUUGAGGGGGCGGUCGAUUCCCACUUCCUAGUAGGCCAUCACGUUCAACCCAGGGGCGCGGACUUGCAUCUCCUUUCCCUCCCGAACCUGCACCAAAUUCAAAAAUAGACACACACAUGAUCUGCUGUAUUUAAAUACAUGAUUAAGAUGUGUAUACAUAGAUAGCAGCAGAAAAAUGAAAACACCCGCUACCUCCUUCGUCGGCAUCCCAUUCUUGACCAUGACGCCCUCGCUCACGGUCUUUAUCUCCAUUGCGAUCCCAUCUACCUGGAGGGCCGUUAGGACCAAGCCGAUCGUGUGGUGGCCUUGGAGGACCAUUAUGUUCAACCCAAGGACCAGAAGGUCGAGGCGGGUAGCUGCUGGAAAAGGCAUUGCCCAGAGGUUCUUCUUCAUAAGGUUUGCGGCGGGGGCCUGACUGUAGAAUGGCACCUCCACCAUUAGGUCUCCUCCAUUCCGGAAGGUCAUCAACCGGUGAUUUACUGUAAGCUAAGUCACUGUCCAACAUCACCACGCAAAGUUCAGCAUCAGGGAUGCUCGCAAUAUCCAAACUGUUGUUCACAUUGACAGGAUUUUCUAUAAGAUUAUUAUAAAAAUGGCAAAGUAAGAGCCAAAUUCCUUUUGGUUCAUUGAUGGUGCUCAAUAUCUUGGCUGAUCUUUCUUUGCAACAACAUCUCCAUCGAUCUAAAUGGGUUACGUCAGUCCCCUUUGAGGGUUCCGCAAACAACUGGUGAUGAGCCCUAUUCCCCUGACCCAAUCACAACCAUCCCUUAGGUCACCCACAAAACUAUGUCAAAUAUCUCUGGAAAUCGACCUAUUAAAAACCUCUCAAUUCAACCCAUAGGUGAAUAUGCUUUCUCGAAAUUAUGAGUAAUCACAUACUGCAACCAAAAACCCUAAAAUUGACGAUUAUUAAAGUUACUGCCAGGCCAGAUGUCUAUCGUUCAAAGUGCAGGCACCCGAGACCUACAUCAGCAACUAACUGUGCGCUGCAAAGAUCCUCCCACAAAAUCUUGAGUGAACGCUUGUGCUGAUCACAGCUAAAAAAAAUUUCACUAAGUUACGUAAUCCUUCGGAUUUGUAAUUCUAACUCGACAUUGACUUUUGUAAAGAUUCUCACCAAUCCCUACGUACGAGACCUCGGGCAGAUGGCACCACCGGAAUUGCAAUGUUCCCCUCCACCACGUCGGAAUUGAUCGAAACACUGCAUACAAGAGCAAAUUUCAUAUCAUUGAUGGAGUCUCAAAGAUAUCAAAGAAUCGUGUCAUACAGACCAAAUCCAUCAUGUUCCAGAACGGCUGCCUCCACAACACACGUCAAUUUCGGUCUGUUGCUAAGAUUUUAAGAAAUAUACAGCACUAGACAGACAAAUAAACUUGACCUUAAUUAGACUAGUAAGGGAGCAAAUAUUACACAAAACAAAGAAUAGGCGACUACUGCACGAUUUGAUUGCCGUUCGAACUGUUCACUUCCGCACAGAAAUUUGAAAUGCAUGGUCAUGACAUCAUACCUCCAUAAAACAGGAUCUAUUCCAUCCGGACGAGUCUGGCAGCUGGGUAGUGUGGCAAAAGCCAACAAAGUAUCUUUCGUAUAUCUGUACAUCUUCUUGGUCGUCAUUCUGUGUACGCGUGCACGAAUUACAACCAUAUACGCAAACGAGCACCAAGACUAUUUGCCUAUUAGAUCUACAGUAGCUGACACUGUUUAUUACCGCAAUGCAUCGAUAAUGUUACCAAGUUCUACCAGCCACGAUGCUAGCCUCUUAUCAUUCAGAAAACUGACUACAGGCGUGUAAGCCUAAGGUUCAUCUGAAAAAACUGAAAGUGAACAAUCCAUAGUUCUUUCAGGAUUUGAGCGGACGCAUUAGGCAUGACUUGGCAUCUUCAGCUUCUCAUUGUAAGUAACUCCCGUGUCUAAAACCUAACUUUAUCUGUUAUGGUGCUGAUCGCAGGAGGUGUUUAAGGCAAUUUUGCAUCUCGAAACAGGCAUGGGAUCUAAUGUCGAAAAUUCAAAUCAAGUGCUUGAAAUGUCACAAGGGACGUGUGUGAGAGUAAACAACUUGCGGGAAGUCAACCUUGACAGUCAAGAUAGGCAAUCAGGAACCGAAUCAAGUGUAAUUACAGAACCUGUACGACCUAAAACUCUCCGUUGAUCUUUCUCACAAUCUUCUCACUCGAUUCAGCGAACUCCCGACUACGCCUUAGUGGAAGGCUCAAAACCACAAAGGAAAUAGAGGGAUCAGAAACAAGCGAUAAGAUCUGGACUUCGGUGAACUGCAAAGCCAAUCGACUUAUGCUUUGGAUACUAGCGCCGACGGCAAAACCUAAGACAAACUUAACUACAGAUGUUCAACUCUCUCAUCUGUCAAUUGAAGCCUUCCAUGAAACAUCGUUGAAAAUUGAAGUUCAAAGAUAGACGCCGGAGGGCAGAUACGAAUUUUGACGAAACAGGAAAGGAACUUAUCAAUGUGUCGGCAAACACAGUAAUUACACUACUUUCACAGAACCCCUCCACUUCCCGACUCCCGUCCUCUCUCGUGUCUCCUCGUCCUCAGUUCCUUCACAGGAUAGCAGCGAUGCGAAUGAGGUGCUCAAUCACAGCAACAGGCGCAACCUCGGAAGAAUCAUUCAAAGAGACCAUAACUCACAACCUCGCCAUCCUCCCCAUCACAACCUACCACCACAGAGCGAAUGCAACUAUUCAGCCUCCCUCCCUCCCUCCCUCCCUUCCAGCCGUAAACCGAGUCGCAAAAAAAAACGCCGAACCAACUUAAAACAAAACCUCCCUGUGGAGUUCAUGUCGAGUAAGCAAAAUGCUCUGUAACUCGCCACACUCCCUCCACAAGAAGUGCUCCACCAUCCUGGCGAAUGCUUUCUUCCGGACGACGCAAGGCCUUGUCUGUUUCCUCUCCUGCAAGUUACUCCAGACCAGGACCUAAUCCUCAGAAAAAUCCCCUUUCCCCUUCUCCCUCUACCAUAGUGUCAUGAGAGUCUCUCUACAACAACAAGCCAUCAUAUCCUAAUACGUAUCGAUUGUCUCCAGAAACGAGCCGAAUGAUCGUGAAAAUGCGAACGAAAGCGAGGGUCUGCGAUACAAAGUGAGAGCGGGUGCGGUGCGUUUACGGAUCAGCAGGGUGCGAUGCCAAAGAAUGCGAAUGCGACUCGGUGAGCCUAGAGACCCUCUCUUCUCUCUCAUUUCGCUCUGCGUAUGCCCCACUUGCAUGAACGUGACGGUGCCUCAGCGUUCUCUUUCCGUCCGUUAUCUUUAUCGCAAGCCUCUUUCGUGUUUCUUUUUCACUUCGUAUCGAAUAUUUCUCUAGUGCACAGUCACACUUCCAUCUUGGUUCCAAAUCAGGCAACCUAACUGAUUUGACCUUGAUCCUCACUCUAUCUCUGCUGUAAUGUAAGAAACAGUAGAUAGAGGAAACCUGAAAACACAACAAUCUGCACCUCGGUUUGGUUGGAAACUUCUACAUUAAACCCACAUUAUUGGUAUGUGCGUGAAUUACUGCGGCACUAGGAGGCUGCUUUCAAAUUUACUGCUCGACUGGCUUCUCAAUUACCAACCUAACAACCAUCACUGCUACGCUAGUAGGUGGUGAUAGAUGCUAGCGACAAUCAGUAGAGAGAAACAGUCACAAGAGAACUCAAUCAGCACAGGUGAUAACUGCACCUUUGCUUGUGAAGAGAAAACAGCCUGCUAACAUUUUUUCUAGCUUCAGUCCUCUCAUAUAUAAUCUAAAACACUAACUUGAAAAUGAGAGGCCGUAAGUUAUUCCAACUACAAAUUUCUACUCAUUCGACCGAAAGUUCGGUGCAAACAUUCCUCACCUGCUGCUUUUUCACUCGUGAUUUCUCAUUGCAUGAAUUCAGUUCAAAGUAUGACAGCAGGUAAAUUGUGGAAGAUGAGACUGGUGAUUUUGACUAUUUCCUGGUCGGCAGGCUGAGAUUGAAGACUUCUUUCAUGUAGCUGUAUUUCUUUCAUUUUAAACCUGAGGUGGACUUCUGAAAGACAUUCGGGUUGUUUGAAAAAAAUAUGUAACAUUUUGAUGUAACAGCUCCUAAACCUCUGGGUUGAAUGAAUCUAAGAGCUAACCACAGCUUGCAAAACAACGCCACACUGCAUGAUACAGGACUUUAAGUGUCGACCAUGUACAACCUCGAUUGUUGUGAAAGUCCGCAACCACACCAGCAGGCCGCUAACGUCGCCAGGUCCACGGAUAAAACCCAAUUCUGAUCAGAAAGACUUGUGACUGUUGAUACGUAAAAUGAAACCACGCUCACUUGAAUUUCUUCAGAUGUGCGCUUCUUUCGUGCACCUCUCCAGUCCAACCAUGUUGUAGGCGCCACAACUGCGAGCUCACGUCUGGCGUGUAAGGAUGUUAACAAAUGGCAGGUGAACGGUUAAGAUGCAAUGACCUUAACUACCAAACUGGCUGUAAUCGAAUUUAUAAACCCUUCAGCGCUUUCUAGCGCUACUCUUCCCUGUUCUAGAGCUUGGCAGCCACUUCAGAACUCAACAUUUGAAUGGGGAACCAGUCAACCAUCUUCCAAGAAUUAUGCUCUACUUGCAUUCUCCUCCUUCACAACUGGGACUUCAACAUCAGCAUCCGCUGUCAAUAGCUCUGAAAGAAGAGUACUAAGAAAGUGGCGGAUCCAAUAUUCGACAACCCCCAGCUGCAAUCCAGUCCAACAGAAGCAAACAAUAUGCCCAGAGGAAGUGUUCCCGGUCGUCCUCCUAACAUACCAGAAGAAAAAAUACCAGUAAUCGCAGUUAUUGCUCCUGAUAUUCGUAAACUUUCCUGGUAAUAAACUUCCUAAUCUAUACAACUACUAACGGGCACAACUGGAUUGAAACAGUAAUCCUGAUGCUAUUAAGACAAUGACGGUGACACCCUCAACGAUACAUUCAAAAGGCAUGAAAUAAGAAAAAUAUGCACGAUGCGGUGAAAAUGCGCUGCAGUUCAAGAACAAGCAGAGAGGAAUCGUCGUCGUAAAAGGACGAGAACGACCUGACCAACUACAGCUUCAUAAUAAUGUAGUUCAACUUUGACACUGAAACGUUGCAGUACAUUCACCAUGUCUUGUUUAACUCAAUAUCAGAACAACGCGCACGGAAAAAUAUUGGUACCUUGGAAAUGCUCCAGCAAACCACGGGUGCCAAGUCCUUCAACUCCGGCGUCAACCCAAAUUCUCCAGCCCAGAAUCUCGAAGCUCCCGAGUAACUUCCGGAGCAGCUAAAACCAAGCUACAGAAGAUUCAGUACUAUGGUUCCCCAGAUAAUUCUGCACGACAUUGCCGAACGAAAUUCAAAUUGAGCCUAUGAUCCCAGAAAAUGAAGGUGUGCAGCGCAUACAAUUCAAAUCUUCCAUCCUAGAACACAUCACAUUCUCUGUCCGAAGCGGCGUUUAAGCAAUAUAUAGUUUAUUUAUGUAAAUAUAACAUGUAUGUAUGUCCCUACGUGUGAGGGGUUGAGGAGGUGGGUGGGUGAGUAAAUGUUAGGUUUCUCCUUCUUUUUCUUUUUCAAUGGUGGUUAGGAGGAGAGGUUGGAAACACCUCAGAGGCAAGAGGCUGCAACGAGAAAAUUGGUGGCUACUGUUAAUCCUCACCGCAGAGCUAAAUGACACCUUACGGCUCAAACUAGAAGCCCCACUCCCGCACCAUAACCUCCUGCAGCACUUGUUUACCCGCUUCAGCUCUCAGUUAGUACCCUAGAGACUACAGCAACGCGAUGCAUCCUUCCGCGAAAGAAUCUGGCAUGGUUGCCCUCUCAGAUAAUUUGAGAAGCCUAGCUGCAAUCGCAAAGCAAUCGCUUUUGAUCGAUUGGUCUCAAAAUGCUAACAGUCUUCCCUCGUAAAAUGAACCAAAAAACAGCUAUCACAUGCCCCGCCACUUAAUUUUCAGCCACGAACAACUUUCGACUAGAACUACGAAUCCAGCAUUGUGAAACAAAUCCAUGGGUACGGUAUCAACAAGACAUAAAAAGCACAUAUAUACUUAAACCUCCUCCCUCCAAACUCAAAACCAACUACACAAACUCCACGUAUAUACACUGCCAGAUCGCAACGACAAACCCUAUUUACUUGCACACGCCUAAGACUGCCACGAAUCACAUGAUGUCCAAAUAUCAAAAUUCACAACAUACCUGUUGCGAGUGAUCUGAAGAUGCUUCGAAAACCUUGAUCAUCAUAGCCAUGGCAAUCUAGCGGCCUACCCAGCAGAACUCACUGCCUUCCUAUCGACAUCCAUCCAUCGCUUGCCUCUUGCUCCAUCACCGGCCAUCUCUCCUUCUUCAUCAUCUCUACAUAGUCUAUAUCCCUCUUCUCGACCAAACCUCAUAUCCAGGGGCCAAACCGCAAAAAACGAUGGACUCCACUCGCUUCACCUUCGUUGAAACCACUGUAAACCCAUCAAAAACAAGAGCUCCCAUCGGAGUGUAGAACAAACCUCAACAUCUCCUUCAAUCCACGAUCCCAUGAAAACCCUUUCCUCGCAUUCGAUUCUAGCCCGCGUUUCCGCAUGGGUUUGCUUUGUUGAAAGGUGGUUGUACGAAAGUACGCCGAACUACGUAUUCCCCCUGGUGGUGAUCGUAUCCGAGGGUGAAAUUGAUGGGAUGAGGGUGUUGGAGGAAUGAAUCUCGAAGAUUCGAACAACCCAACUCUGCCUUCCCCCCAUUCACCCUAAUCCUCUCAUCCUCAAAGUCCACAUGAAACCCUUGCAUCGAAUAUGAAACGGCACAGCUGCUGCUGCUGCUAUGAUCCAUUUCUAUCCAUGGAUGCGCUUGAUGCUGUCGACAGCGAUGUGCAAAUCUGCUCCGACCCAACAAUUUUUUUCCUUCAUCUGGCUUGCCUUGUUCGAUGAAGGAUGAUGAAACCCAUCUGCAAAACUGGGACUUUUCACACAGGUCCCUCUCCCCCAGCACCCAAAACUCGCAUCUUGGCACCACAAAAUGGGCUUUAAAAACUCUUUCUUUUAACGUGUUAGUGAUUCAUGUUCUCUUUCUAUGUGAAACUAUGUGUUGGAGUCGUAUCACUGCUGAUAAAAUGUUUAUAAAAAAAGAAAUACAUAUAUGCAGAGAGAGGGGGGGGGGGGGGGGGGGGGUUUGUAGGCUGAAAUAUCAUGAUCGAAAUAUAAAUUGGUGUAAUGUCUGGUUUUUAAGUUCAGAGUCUGAUAUAUGUUAUGUAUGGAACGUAAGGAUUUCUUAGUUGAAUUUGGUUGUGAUUUGAAACUUAUUUUUUUCUUUCCUUUUCUCUUAUUGUUGUGUGUGAAUAUAUAUAUAUAUAUAUAUAUAUAUAUAUACAUACACAUACAUAUAGGAUACUAUUAAUAUCACCACAAUCCGCCACUCAUUUGACAUAUUUUUAUAGCUUUUAUCUUAAUAAAAAAAUGAUUCAAUCAAAUAGUUUGAAAGUUAUUAAACAAAUGAAAUUUGAUUGAUUUAAAAGAUAUUAAAUAAAAUGUUGCAUAGAGUGGAUGGGAGGUUGUGGUGGCAAGAGCAAUACUAUAUAUAUAUAUAUAUAUAUAUAUAUAUAAUUUUAUUUUUAUAAAUUUAAUAAAAAUUAUUUUUAAAUAAUAUGAAGCAUCUUGAUAAGAUAGUCAUGAAAUUUAAAAAAAAAACAAAAAACAAAAAACAAAACAAUAGAAAUAAAAAGAAUUGUAAAAAGAAUUUAAACGGUGUCUCAAUAUAGUACAAAAUACUACCUUAACUUAUAUAUAGUUGUUCAUAAGAGUCCUACUUUAGGCCCAAAAAUAACUCAAGUAAAAUUGAAUAAAUAAGUUUAAUUUUAUGUAUUUGAGAAUUUUCCAAAAUUUAGAUCAAAGUUUGUAAUAAGGUUAUUUGACGAAAGCAUGCUUUCUAUUUUUAUUGCCAAACAAUUGACUCUAAAAAAGCAUGCUUGCUAUAAUUAUAUAUUUUUUAAUAUUUACUAUUUUAUAUUAUUUUAUUAUUUUAAGUAAAAGAAUUACUACAAAUCAAGAAUAAUUUUUAGAGUGAUGAAAGCAUAAUAUACAUUGUUAAUUUUAGUUUAAUUAUUCUUUUAGAGACAACAAUUUUGCAUCUAUAUAUGCUUUGCUAGUUCAUCUUUUAUUGUUUUCAAUUCCAUAGUGGCUCAUGACAGCACCCAACAAUGGCAACACAAUUGGUGCACUUUUAUUUUUCAAGUAUCGGAAGUUCCACAAUAAUAUACAUUAGUUAGUAUUUUUGCAUUAAAAUUAUAAUUAAUUUUUUACCACUUUAUUUAUUCUUAAAUUAUCUAAUACAAUUUUUUGCUUCAUUUUUUUAUGUUUAUAAGUAGCUUAAAAUAAAAUUACAAUGUAAUUCUUUUCAUCUGUUGGAAGCUCUACAUAUGUGACCCUUAUUUAUAUUAUAUACAAAUAAGAUUUCCAUGUAGCACAUUCAUAUGGCUCAUGCUUUUGGUUUAAAGAAAAGUAUAAUUUGGUUUGGUAUAAAAAAAUUUUUAUGUAUUUAAAAAAAUAUUUAAUUUAAAUUUAAAUUUUAAAUUUUUUAUGAGAUUCUAUCAACCAAAGUGUAGCACUUUGUCUUACAAUUUGCCUAACAAUUCGGUCUCACUCAACUUAUAUCAGAAUCUUAUACAUUCUUUACUCUUUUGCACAAUUGUUUUUCUAUUGUCAAAUUACUUUUAUACAAGUACAAAAAUAUAUAUAUAUAUAUAUAUAUAUAGAUAGGUAUGACAUUAUUUCUAAAUUCAUAGAGACAUGACAAAUAUUAACAAGCUUGGUUCAAUUUUUAUUAGAAACAACAAUUUUGUAUCCAUGUCUCUCUUUUAAGCAAAUUAUUUGUUGUUUGCAUUUAGAUGGUGGCUUGUGUCAUCUAAAAAUAUUUUCACAUAAUUGAUGCAUCUCUAUUUGUCAAGCAAUAAAUGUUGUACAUAAUCACAUAAUAGUUAAUAUUUUUGCUAAAUAAUUAUCAAUACAACUUCUUUAAAACUUUACAUAUUUUUAAAAAAUCUGGUGAAAAUAAUCAAUUUUUUAUUUAAUUUUUAAAAAACAAAUUAAAAACCAGGAUUUGACGUUUCUCAUCCUUUAAAAACUUAACUUUAAUACACUAUUUAUACAUAUUUAUUUAUUACACAAUAGAUAUAUACACACUCACAUAUGUAUGUUUUUAUUUUUAUUUUUUGAAAUACAAACUUCAUUGAAACGACAUCUUAUUUUGGUAAAAAUUAUCAAACUCUACAUCAUUUCAAAAUAGCACUUGAAAACUCGAAAUUGGUAAAUAUGUAAUUAGAAUCAUCUUUACGGCAAUGCAAAAUAAAUUCUUAGAGCAUAGCUGAAUGAAAAAAUUACUAGAAAUAAAGUUCUCAAAUUUAUGAAUACGUGGUGCAUUUACUAAGUAUAAAGUGUAAGUAUAAAGUGUAACACAAUAAUUCAUAUCUAAUAAACAAAUAAAUUCUUAAAAAAUAAAUGUUAUAUAUUUUUUAAAAAAUAAAUGUUAUAUAUUUUUUAAAAAAUAAAUGUUAUAUAUUUUUUUAAAAAUAAAUGUUAUAUAUUUUUUAAAAAAUAAAUGUUAUAUAUAUUUUUUAAAAUAAAGUCAUUAAUAAUUUUAAUAAUAAUUAAAAUUAAAAAAAUGCAAAGACAAUUAAAAUAAAAUUUACCAUAUUUUAUCAUACUUUUAUAAAAUAUUUUAUUUAUUUAUUUGUUUAUUUUGAAUAUGAUUUUCAUUUGCUAAUAAGAAGUUUUGUAAAGUUUUGCAUAAUUAUUGUAAGAGUUUUAAAUAAUUAUUAACUUUUGAUUUUGUAAAACUCAUGAAAAAUGCACAAUGUUAAUUAACGUAUCGAUAAUAACCAAGUUUUUUCAAUUUUAAUAAAUGACGAGUUACAAUGAAUAAUUAGUUGUAAACUGAAUACAGUUACUUUAUUUCAGGACAAAAUAAAUUUUAGGUUAGAAUAUGCAAUAUGUCAAUGCAAUCAUGCUAUCAUUGACCAAAAGAGUAUUAAUUUAAAAAUAUAAUGUAUGACACUCUUUAUCAAUGUAUAUGUUUACCUUCUCAAUUUUAAUAAAAAUAUGACAAUUCUACUAUUUUAAAAAAAGAAAUUAAAAUUAAACCACAAAAUUUUACUUUACUCAAUUCAAAAACUAUUAUUAUUUAACAAUUUACCUUGAACUUGCCAUAUGUAUGCCAGUCAUAAUUCUCAUUUGAAGCAUAAAGAAGAAGUUACUUAUUUCUUGUAUAUAAUAAAAUUAUUAACUUUACAAACAAGUAAGAACUUUAUAUACUUGUUACCUUUUUUUUAUUCUAUUCAAUAUACAUCAUUCAUUAUUAAUAUGGUACUGCUUCUAAAUGAGACCAACAUUCUAGACUCUUGAAUUUCAACUCAUUUUUUUUUAGUUUUAUGUAUUUAGAAAUAUAAUCAUGAUAACAUAUUCACUUAACUAUCUCUUAUACAAAACAUCUUAAGGGAUAAACUAGAGAAAACAAAAACCAUCUCUAAUUGGUUGCAAAUCUCAUCAAAAGUGAAGCAAUAAUUCAACUUUUGAUUAAUCAGAGAUCAAAAUCUACAUGAUGUUGAUGGAUAUUGCUGAGAGUAACACUGUGAGAUCACUAAAUCCACAUGAUGUUGCUGGACAUUGCUGAGAGUAGCAGUGUGAGAUCACUAGACUUGGAGCUCGGAAGUUCCCAAUUGAAAUUUUUAGAAAAUAUUUUUUGUGGCCAAUGGUGCGGGUUUCCGCUAGUAUUAAUACAAAUGAAUACAUACACAGGCAUGUGUGUGUGUGGACACACCGCCAGUUACCCCCAUUUCCGUGCUAUGAAGAGCCGGAACCCGCGACUGGUUUCGAAGUUGUCUAUUUCAGUUUCUCUAGCAACAGUGAAACUUAAUUCCGCAAUUAGGGUUUCUGCUUCACACACUGCGCGCUCGACUUUGAUCGAGGGUGAGACUCGUAGUUGCGUUUGGGGGGUCUGAGAUUGACAAAACAGAGCUGCGUGCGUGAGAAGGAAUCAUGAACCCGUUGACGCAAGUGAAGAACACGCAGAAGAUCACCGCGAGGGAGCAAGCAAUUGGCAUAAGCGACGAGGGAUCCUGGCAUGCCAAGUACAAGGAUUCUGCGUACAUCUACGUGGGUGGGCUCUCUUUUGGUCUCACCGAGGGUGAUGUUCUCGCGGUCUUUGCCCAGUGAGUGUUCUCUUCCGACCCAUGUUGUUGCUCGGUUCAGGACAAUGUGGUUUAGGUCGCGUUUUGAGUGAGGUGUAGUUUGGGAAAUUUGGAGUUUCUGCGGCUUGGCUGUGCAUUUGGGAAGUACGUCCCAAACCUUUUGAAAAUAGCGUACUCGACAGCGUUUACUGGUGCAGAAUUUGGGUGGUUUGAUUAUUCGAUGCUCCUGUUUGUUACAUGUGCCUUUGCAGUAGAUUACCUUCGGGCGUUAAAAGAAAUUGACGUGAAUGUACUGGCAUCGUCUUCUGGUAGCGAUCGCGCAGAAUCGAAGGUCGUGCACAUCACUGAUGUUACAUCUCGAAGGGUGUCUGUAGCCUUGUGAGUGCGUUAAGUGGCAGAGCACUAAAGAAGAUGGCCAUUUUAUAUCCUGUACGUGGAAAUGGAUUAGUUGCGGGAAGAUGUGAAGCAAGUGGUAUAAUCUUGUAUUCUGUGGGAUACUGUUCAGGUAUGGGGAGGUUGUGGAUGUGAACCUUGUGAGGGACAAAGCGACUGGAAAGUCAAAAGGCUUUGCAUUCUUAGCGUAUGAAGAUCAGCGGAGCACUGUGCUGGCAGUGGGUUAGUAAAUUUGUGAUCUCUUACGUUUAUUUUUCCUAGACGUUGCGUGUUACAUAUCCUGGCUUUUCCGGGAACGGGAACAUUCUAUGUCUUCGAAUGAAUGUCAGGGUUUUGCCAACACUUUGUUCCAGCGAAUGGGAUUUCGGCAGUGCGUUUAAGUACCCACCAUUUUUUGAGAAGUGCUUUGUGAACACCGAUAGUAAGGGGCCCUCGGGUCCUGAACGAUUUUAUUAUUAUUAUUAUUUUGUUGCUGUUGUUGUUGUAAUUCUUGUACGAUGUUGGAGGAUGAUUGCAGAUAACUUGAAUGGAGCUCGAGUGGAUUCUCGCAUCAUUAAAGUGGAUCAUGUGAGUGACUAUAAGAGGAAGCUAGAAGAAGACGAGGAGGAGAAACAGCGGAAGCGAGAGGAACGAGGAGUGUGCUAUGCUUUUCAGCGCGGGGAAUGCAAACGCGGAGAUGAUUGCAAGUUUUCACACGAUGAGCAGGUUUAUUACACCCAACAAUCCGAUGCACACUUUUGCUAUUAUAACCCAUGUUUCCAGAGAAGUAUAGUUGAGUUAUAGUCGUCUUAUCCGGGUGCUGUUACGUGCCUGUAAGUGACACGUGCUUCUUCUUGCAGAGGAAUUCGAACACUGGUUGGGGAGAAGGUGGCAGUCGGAAAGAUGGCGGCAGUUGGAAACAUGAUCAGUUUGACGGGUCUAUGAAAGAAGCAGGGAGGAGGAUACAAAUGCUUUCAACAAAACGGAACGAUGAUGGCAUGAAUGAAAGAGAGGAUAAGCCUCGAGGCGUAUGUUAUGCUUUUCAACGUGGGGAAUGCAACCGUGGGGAUGGUUGUAAAUUCGCACAUGACGAACAGGUUUGUUUUCUGCCACUUUGGAUGUAGUGCUUCUCUUGUUGAUGCAGGAAUUAAAGGUUGGUAGGGCCAUGUGCGAAGAGCUACCACGUUUCUCUUGUUUUGAAAUGUAGGGCUGUUCUUCUGAGGUGGAAGUUGAGUAUGUGGUACCAAGAUGACAAGCAGAAAAUAACACCAAAAGCUAUGUCCUAUUUUGACUAAAUGAAGUAUAGUUUUUCUAGCUACUUGGUCAUUUUUACUUUUUGUAUUUAGCUUGUCUUUUUUAUGCAUCUUGGUAUUAUGGGGCUCUUGUAUAAGUAAAUCCAGUAUUUGAAAUUGAGAAGUGGUUCUUUUCACAGAGAAAUGGCAAUACUGGUCGAGGAGGUUCAGGUGCAGGCUCGAAACAUGAUCAAUUUGAUGGGUCAAUGAAAGAAGCUAUCAGGAGAUCGAACUUAGCCUCGACUAAGCGUAGUUCUAGUCCAGAAAGGACUGGUCGAGAGAAAGAGAAGUUAAUGAAGCCUCCAGAUGACAGGAGAGGAAGAGAUGGCGCGCACAGAAGUAAAGAUUCUGAUCGAGGGGAGCAAAGAAGAGAUGAUGGAUCCAGAAGAAGAGACAACGAUCGAGAGGAUCGAGGUCGAGACCAAGAUCCGAAAGAAUUGGAUAGAAGAGGCAGAAGGGAUGAUGCCGACAGGGAUGGAAGGGAUCGUAGGGAUGAUAGAAGGAAUGCUCUCAGAGACUGGGAUGAUGAGAGUAGGGAUAGAAGCAGGGACGUCAAAAAGGAUAGGGAAAGAAUUGAUCGAGGAGACGACGGGAGAGAUGAACGCGCUGUAAGAUUACGGAGAUAACAAUGAUUUCAAGAGACUGCUCAACCUGUAUAGUGGCGAUUUUGUGAAUUUUGAAGUGUCAGGCGCUGUUAGAGCUUCCAUGCGAGUGUCCUCUGUGUUGCUGCUUAUUUUUGUGAGGUAGGAGUUUGAACUUUAUCUCCCGCAAGUCUUAUUUGAAAAGGUAAUCCUUGUACCCUGGUUAGAACUGUAAGAACUUAAAGUUUUUGGUUGUUUUGAUUCUAUUUGGAUAAUGCAUUUCUUCUUCUUUUGAAUUUUUAUUCAAUAGCCAUGUUUGAUUUCUAUAUUUUAAGUUCCAAGUCUGGGUAUGCCUUACAUCAGACUUAACCUUUGAUUCUUUAAAACUUUCUGUUAUGUUUGGGAAUGCUUCAUACCGAUCUGUGCAACAAAUGUACAAUUUCAAGCAUAAACUUGAUUUUCAACCUACUGAAAACAUCUGAAAACGAACCAUCUAUUUUACUAUCCUGUGGUGAUGAAGUGGUGACGAAGGAGAGCAAAUGCUAAGUGAUCAAUGAGAUUGAUUACUGAGGAAUUGUACAAAAUGUGUCCUCACCAAAGUCACUUUGCAACAUGGCAUUUGCAAGCUGCAAGGGUACAAUGGAGAGUGAUGAUGGUUGGUGUUUAAGUCACUAGCUUUUACUAAACUUUAAAGACAGUAAUCAAAACAAGAGGAAAAAAUAGGCAAAAUUUGCAACAUGUUUUCAAUAUUCUCAAAGACAAAAGUCAUCUUUUAACCUCUAUUCAAGACUAUCAAUUAAACAAAAGUCAUCAAAUUCAAAGUCUUGUAAAUUCAAUCCUAUUGAUAUAAGAUUAUUUCACAUGCUCUUUUUAAUGUGAAGAGUUGCAUUGCCUACCCUCUACUAUUUCACUAAAUCAAUGCCUUUAUUAUUUAGGUACAAGAAUAGUGUGUGAAAUAUUAUAUUAUAAUACGUGUAUGAAUAUUAGUUUAAGAGAAUUACUUAGGCAAGGUUAAAUUAAUGUAAGUAGUGGAUGGAGGGGGGGGGGUUUGAAGAAGAUAUGUUGGCAAGAAGAAGACAACAACAAACUAUAACAUUUCAGGACUCUGCAUAAAUAAUAAUAACUCAUGUGUUUUAUAAAAUUUAUAUCCACUAAGGUUAUUAAUUAGAUGAGGUACCAUUGUAUAUGGCAUUAAAUUAGAAACAACCUUUUGUAAAAAUUAUUUAGGUACAAGUAACAUAAAGAAGCAAAUAGACUUAUGAUAACGUUAAAAGAAAUUUUAAAUUUAAAUUUAAGUUAAAUAUACUUUAUAAUAUAUAUAAAGUCUAAAUUGCAUUUAUAUAUAUUUCUAUGGCUUCUAAUAAUUUCAAGCUAGUUUAUAUAAUGAAUUCAUUUUGAUUAGGAUUUCUUUUAAAUAAGAUUUUUUUUUCAAUUACAAAUGUAUUCCACUUAAUUUAGAACCUUGGUGGAUAGAAAAAAUACAAUUUAUGCAAGGUUUUAUAAUUUAUGUGGGAUUGUGAAAUUUCAUAGUUCUCAUGCAAUUUGAGCAAUAAACAAGCAUAUGGCAAUAUAUGGUAUAGAAGUUAUAUAUUGAGUUUAAAUCACAAAGAGGAUCUCUUUACAUAAGAUGGCUAAUUGUUUGCAAUAAUAUCAUGUAAAGGUAUCAAAGCUUUUAAGAUCUUGACAAUCACAAAUAUGUCGUUAAAAUGUUUCUAAGAUGGAGUAAAUAACUAAAUCAUGUAGACUACCAAUUAUGCAUCUAUAUUUCUUGUGUAGUAUUGAACCACGUAAGUCGAAUUUUAAAAUUAAAAACUGUAAGCUCAAUUAAGAAAAAAAUCCAAGUCUUCAUUAUAAUACCAAUUCUCAACUACACAAUUAUCUGUAAGUAAAUUAAUUAACAUUAGACUAACACCAAUUCAAUUAUAUAAUAGAACUUAUAGUAAUACACAUAAAAUUGCUACAUCUAAACAAGUAACAGCUCUCACUUUGACAACAUGUUUCGAAGUAUGAAAAUAAUGUUUGAGAUUCAAUGACAUGUGCAUAUACUUGCGUCUCAUAGUAUCUGUAUACACAUCCAUUAUAUUUUUCUUUUCCAGUAUUACUUAAAUUACUUUGCCUCCGAAGAUUCCCACUUUGAAAAAACGUGCCAAUCAUUCAUGUGAAAACACGUUUGAAAGAAACAUAAAUACAUACUACUGAAUUGAAAGACCCUAUCAUUCAUUGUGAUUUUUGCUUGCAACUCCAAUCAAGCAAAUACCGGAUGAUAUUUUCUUUUGAAUUAAAAUUGAAAUCCAUUAAAUCCUAGUGAUUUUUAUGUACCAAAAUAUUCCAACGUAUGGAUGAUUUCCUUUUUAAGGUGGAUAAUUCUGAUAUUGUUAUCAAACUUCUGUGAAAAUUGUAACAAUCUUUUGUUAAUUUUUGGUUGUAAGGUUUCACUAUAUUUUCUACUUAACUAAAGGUUAUAACUUAUCCCCAAUUCACUAUUCCUACCUCAUCAUGUGCAAUCUCCACCUCCAUUCGUUUCAAUGCAAAAUCACAAGCAUGGGAUUGUUCAAAUUCUUUACCCCACAAGCAAUUUAUCUUUGAACGUCUCUGAACAGGAGGAUCGUGGCUGGUGGCUGAGAAAGGCCAGGUUUCGCCCCGGCAACUGAUUCCGGUACCCCGCUCAAAAGAGGUCGCUGAAAAAACUAAUUGCUGAAUAACAGUGACUAUUGCCACAUCAAAUUUUCAAAAUAAAGUCUUCCUGAAGGGGCGAUUUUAAUUUAGGUGAAAACUAGGUGUUUUACGAUUGCUGCUGCAGUUUUCCCCACCUCAGCAAACUUCGAGAAGUAUGAACUCUGAUGUGAGUGCACAAUGCCGAUAAUACCACACUUCAUGAUACUGAACUAACGAUAAACCAUACUAAAACGUUCACAACGUCCUAAUUUCAUACUCUCUGUACCUUUGAUAGACCCAAUUCUCUCGUAAAUUCUAUGUACACUACGUGUAAGAUUCCACGGUGUAUCCCAAAAUUGACCAUAAUUAUAUGGUGUAUCACUCUGCACGUACAACAGUUCCAGCUGCAUACGCGAUAGGCUAACAGGAUUACACUCUUGGUAUAAAGGUCUCUACACUAAGCUACCUACACUUUAUCCGGGUAUUUUAUGAAGAAAGCUGGUGACGCACUCACGUUACAUAGUGUCACUUGCUUUUAAGUGCAACAGCGAAGGACGUCAUUGACUAAACUCUGCUACACAAUCUUACGAGUUCAAGUGAAUGUGAUCAUGCGAAAGUCUAACGAAAAACAACAGCCCAUGCUGCUGAUAAGAUUUUAUAAAAGUUCUAAGAUUGAUCGCACAUGUAAUGUCCAUUCUCCAUUUGAAGUCGCAUGAAACCUGACAGAUUCAUCAUUGAAUUGGUGCAGAGACUUUCCAGGUUGGUCGUGGGCGACAGUACGACUCAUGCGUCGUCCAUUUGCUCGUCCUCGGUCGUCUCGGAUUCGUCGUUAUUACAGUCAAUCCGAAGAUCCGCUAACAACUCCUCCAGCUGAACGGAUGGAGGCUCGUCACCAUCUCCAUCUAUCAUAGCCGCAGUUUCAGAUUGUGGCCUAUAGUUGACAUCCCCGUACAAUGCAAUCAUAGCGUGCAUCUCCAGGUCCUCUUUGAUUUCUUCUAAAAUCCUUUCAUAAACAUUGGAUACAUUCUCCCGGUCUUGCCUAAUAGCACUGGGAUCGAUCUCCAUGUCUAGUGCUUUGAGCUUCCAUGGCCUUGGCUUUCCACGUCUCCUCGUCCGCUUCUCCUCAUACCUCUUCUUUACAAGCACUACAUUUGGAAGUGAUAAAUUGCGAUACUUCUCUAAUUCUGGAUCAUUGGUAUUAGCUGAAUAAACAUUGCAACCCCAAGGCAAAGUCUCCUACGUUCAAAAGUGAUAUUGUAUUUCCCAGAAUCGGACUUCCUCGCAACCUGCACGUCUGCCAAUACGUACUUCCCAGCACGAGUGGACGCACUUGGAUCUAUCUCAAUAUCUAAAAUUGUGUACUCUACAAGUUGCCUGGCAUGUAGAAGAGGCCUAAAUCCUAAUGAAAAUCCAGUCCUCCAGUAUUGAUUGGCAUCUGUAUACGCAGUCCGCAAAGUCUGGGGAUCCAGCAGCAACAAACUGUUUGAGACCUGCGUGCAUAGAACCAAAGGAUCAAUGUUGCCAAGACUUGCCGCCACCUUCUCAGGGAAACAUAUAAGGCCGUCCUUGCACGCUGGACAAAUCUCCACGGACAUGGUGAACCUAUAGUUGUACGUAUUAGAUUUUGAAUCUUGUGGAACUAGGUGCUUGUCGUACUCCUAAUAGGAACAACGUUUGAUAAGAAAUCUAGAAUAUUCAAGCCAUGACUUGUUUGCAAAGUGAAAAUCCAUCCCGUCAUGGAUCUGCUUGAUGUUAACUGCAGCUGCGGCAGACCCGUGUUUAAUUAUAAGCUGCUCUUGAAAAAAGAAGGUUCUCUUAUGCUUGACCUUCUGCUUCACUUGCACAAAGGCGAUCCAUUGGUCGGGGUUCGCCGCCACGCGUGAACACUUCUCGCACAUAUGAUCCUCCACUCUUUGGUCCACCACGUAAGCUUGCUCCAGGAUUGCGCCAUUGAUGACCUCUUUCUAAAUUUUCAGCCUCACCUUGAACCGUUACGAUUGAGGCUCGGUCCAUACAAGCCCCGCGUCCACCAGCCAGACCCUGUUAAUGUUCUGCAACCGUUAGAUGCAAAAUGCGAACGGCUCCUUCGACUCGAGCUCCGCCUUCACCCAAGUCCGGGGCGGCUGAAGGAAUUGACCGCACUCACGGAAAUACAGCACAGUAGCCAGCUUCUGCAAACCGUCUGUGAUGUCAACUUGACAACGCAAUAAAGUAACGCAAAUAUUGGAGGCCUUCCGCGGCAAAGUCACCCCGCAUAUGCAACAUAGCACCCGCCCCACUGUGUGAGGCACGGUAAACAUAUCGGCCGCCAUAGCCGCAACAAAAUGACCGCCCAGUUCAAUUGAUCGAGGAACGCAAGCCAAAGCACUGAAACCAAACCCCGCAUAACAUGGUCACCGGAACUCGAGAAGUCCGCGGUCAUAGAGCAAGUGGUUUAUAACCGUUUUCUGUGUGUAAUGAACAGUUUCAUACAUAAUAUCUACUGUCCUGUGGACCUCACUCGAAGCCUCGAAUUGUGCAUUAGAAAAUUUUUGGACUUCUCUAAAUUUUUGGACCGUGAUUUGGAAAUAAUUCCAAUUUUAAAGCUUGUCUCAUGUUUUCUCUAUUUUAAGAUUAUUUCCUACCGGUCUUAUUAUCAUAAUUAUUUAGAGGGCAACAUUUUAUUGAAGUAUAAAUAAUUUGCAAUUAAAUUUAGAUAAAUUAUUCUUUAUGUAUCUUUGUGGUAUUUUUUGGAAUAUUUAUUAACAUUAUUAUAUUCUCUUCAAGAUUCUAUUUUUAAAUAACAAUAUUAAUGAUAUGUAUGAAUAUAUAUAUAUAUAUAUAUAGGGGAAUGAUAAAGCAACCCAAAUUUUUAUUGAAGCAACCCACUCUAUCUUAAGCAUCAUUCCAUCCUUGGAGCCUCCAUCCCUAUUCCCAACUGUUCCCAUUCCCAACCAUUGCAAGGGAUAGGGACAAGGGGUUGGAAAUGUAAGGAAUGGGGGUGAUGGUUGGGAACAAGGAAAUGGGGCAUGUGAGUUGAUAUAGUAAAAAUUGGGGUUGUUUUAUCAUUUUCAUAUAUAUAUAUAUAUAUAUAUAUAUAUAUACAGGGAAGUAGAUACAAAAACAAUAUAGCAAGUCAAAAUACAAUUUUUAUAAUAUAAUAAUUAAAAAUACUAAUUAUUAUACAACAAUGUAUAUCUAUAUAUGUACAUAUACUAAAUUUAUUAUAUAAAAUUAUAGUAUGUCACAAUCAAGUUGCUAAAAUAAUUUUUAAUCAUUUUUAUAAUCAUAUAUAAAAUAAAUUAAAAAAGGUUUUUAUUGCUACUUCAAUGAUCCUUCCUAAUCAAUUUAAACUUCAUGAAAUAAUAUAUUAUGACUGUAUAAAAUCAAAAACUGAGUAGACUAUAUUAAAUGAGGUUACAAUAGUAAGAACUUCUUCAAAACUUCAAUUGGAUUUGAUUUGGCACUUAGAUGUUUAACCAAACUAAUAAUAUAAACAUAUAAAAAAAAAUACAAAAUCAAAUCAAAUACAGUUGAAUGUAUUCAUAUUACUAGAAGAACAAUUAUUGAAAACAAAUAUUAUUUGUAGUGAAAAGACUUUCGACUGACUUCCGGUUUGUGUUUCCAAUAAACUAAAUUCUAACUCAAUAAAAAUUAUUCAGUCACUAGUCACACACAACUAAAACUGCGAAACAAUUCUUAGAAACUGGAAAUUAAAGUAUAAUCAUAAGAAGUAAUACAAUUUUUUUUUUUUUUUUUUUUUUUUUUUUAACAGUAUUUGUGAUAAUAACUGUAUUAGCUUCACAUGUAAAAAUAUGUAGUAUAAGUUUCACACUGUGCGCAGAACCAACUUGAAUCGAGGUAAAUAUUUCAAUCCAAGUCAGAAACUGCGAAUGCUGGCAUUCUUAGUGAACUACACGGCUCUUAAAUUCGUCCCUCUAUGCCAAGACAUGCGUACGGAAAUCCGAAUCCUUAAGGAGCGUUGGCGUUUCUGCGCAGAUGAAGAGUGUGAGGAGCAGCACGAGGUAAUACAGACCAGAAACAGGAGACAGAACUGAGCCGAACAAGAGCAUGAUGGGCAGGUUUGCAUGAGGAGCAAUAUUCCGCACCACAUGAAACAACGUGAGUGGAACAGCGCAAGAUCAUCAGAAGCCAGACAAUUAAAAAGCACAGUAAAAGAACCAUCGACGAAUCUGGAUCACAAAGUAAACGAGAAAAACGUUCAAAAUCAAAAAACUAAUCGCAAACGAGAGCAAAGCAAAAAAGGAAAGAGUCUUAAAAAAAAAACACAUCACCACCACUAAAGAACAACUGGACGCCCCGAAACAAUCGAUUGGUAAAAACCAGCCCACUUCAGAGGAAAGUUAAAUGCACAUUCUCAGACACGCCCAAAACUGCACCUCUAAGAGAAUUCAAGGUUGGCGCGGAAAACGUUGGUUAUUUUAGACCAGCCAACUCGAUUUGGUAGAUCACGAGGAUGAUUAGCCACGUGUACAUUCAUUCAUCCUGAGGACACCCACGGUGCGGGCAACGGAGUGACCUGUCAGUGCUGGGUGGGUGGCGCGGGGGGGGGGGGGGGAAGAGGUCUGGAGAGGAGGGGGAGUGGAAAAGGGGCGAGGUGGGGUUGGUCUUCCCGGCGUGUUUCACGGUGUUCGGGGGAAUGAUGGAUUUGGUUCCAGAUCGCAGUCGCCUCUCUUGCUUUGAGGAGAGUGCCGGGUCGGGUCGGUGUUCGGGGCCACGCUGGGGUCCGGGUCUGGCUGCUCGUGCCCCGAUUUUGUCCUGGUUUGAAUUGUUUUCCCUCUUUUGGUUUCUCCGCUUGCUUCCCUUGUGUCUGUAAAGAAUUGCGUGGAGGGCCUGGCAGACCAUUGCAAUUUUUGAUGUUUCUGUGUCUCGAGGAGGGGGUUGCGGUGCUGCGGUUUGAUCUGGUGCGCUCAGUGCGCCCCGAGUCUGCUAAAGGAGGAGGAGGAGGUAGGCGGAAGGAGUUGGUGCCGUGCGGAGGGGAUCCUGAAACGGGGAUGCACUAGGAAUGACAGGGUAUCAUGCUGAGGGCGUCUGGCCGAUACGGGCGUAGGUAGUUUCACGGGCGAAGCUGCUGGAGGAGGUCGCUGAGCAUAGGGCGCGCCUUGGGUUGGUUGCAGUUGUUGCGAGUGGGGUUGAGGGUUCUCCGUUUACGGGGUGAAGAGCAGGGCAGGUCGCAGCGGGAGGGCUCGGACGCGGGGCGCGAUGGAGGGUCUGGGCAAGGGCUACGAUGCGUUUGUGGAACGGCUGCAGUCGGAAUUUGGUGCGACGAGCGUGGGCAAGGGGUCUGGGAGCUCUUCCACGAGCAAUAUUGCCGCGCACCCUCCGCAUCCUUCCCAGUCUCAGCUCCACCAGUCGCGCUAUGUCGGGUAUCCGUCGACCUCUCACCCGUUCACGGUGAAGAGGGAGACGUCUCCGUCCGUGUCGGAGACGUCGAUGAGAUCGCGAGAGUCUUAUUCGCUGGAGGUGAACAUGCAAGACGCUGUGACCUCGGCCAGUCCUGCAAGCAUUUCGGGGUCGGGGCAGCCCCCGCGGAUGCCCAGCCCGGGGCACAAUUUUAGCACAGAUGUGAACCAGAUGCCGGACACUCCUCCCCGACGAAGAGGGCACCGCCGUGCGCAGUCGGAAAUCGCAUUCCGGCUUCCAGACGAUGCGUCCUUCGAGAGCGAGCUGGGCGUGCACGGAUCCGAAAUGCCGACACUUUCUGACGAUGGCGCGGAGGAUCUGUUUUCGAUGUACAUUGACAUGGAGCAGAUAAACAACAUGAGUGGGACAUCGGGGCAAGCGGGUGCGAAAGCGGGUGGUGAAGGGAGCAAUGCACCCGCUCCCUCCGCCCAUCAUGCGAGGAGUUUGUCCGCGGAUGGGAGUCUGGGGAACUUGGCGGGCAACAGGACGGGCGUGGGCGUGGGCGGGGGCGGGGGCAACAAUUCGGCGCCAUCGGAGGCUCGAAGGCCGCGGCACGGGCACAGCAGCUCGAUGGACGGAUCGACUUCUUUCAGGCACGAUCUGUUGUCGGGCGAUUUCGAGGGGGAUACGAAGAAAGUGAUGGCGUCUGCAAAGCUUUCGGAGAUAGCGCUGAUUGAUCCCAAGCGCGCGAAGAGGUGAGAUUCCAAUGAGCCGUCUUCCUGUGUCGGUUACAGCACGGGUGAGGGAGGGGAGGGAUGUUUGUGACGAGCCAUGGGUAUGGCAGUGACGCGAAGGGCAGCUGCAGAGGAGCGGGGACGGAAGCGUGGAUUGGAAUGCGCGGCAUGAUUGAGUGUUAGUACGUUUGCCCGUGUUCAGACAUUGUCCCCGUGGUGUGCCUGGACGGGGUUUCGUUUCUGUGGUGCAAUUUGGUGCCGUGAUUCCGCAUGGGAGGGGAUGUAAUUCUUGGUAGGCAGCGGGCGCAAGUGGGGUCCGAGCUCAGUGAGACGGGGUGCAGUCUGUGGGUGGUCAGGACUGCAGUGGCUACAGUAGCAUGCGUGGAUGUUGGUGAGAGCGGGGUGUUGUUAUUCGGUUGUGUGGUGUGAGGCCGAGUGGGGAAGUUGAGGGACGAGCUGAGUAGUGGAUCAGGGUUGUGGCUCGGUCGUCUGACAUGAAGUACGUUACGGUUCAGGAUUUUGGCGAAUCGGCAAUCGGCAGCACGUUCCAAGGAACGGAAGAUGCGUUACAUCUCAGAACUUGAGCGCAAGGUGCAGGGUUUGCAGACGGAAGCCACAACGCUUUCCACGCAGCUCGCAAUGUUGCAGGUUUGUGUGCGAAAUCGUGGACUUGUGUAGACGUGUUGGUGCUGUCACCGGGCUUCCGGUCGGUGGUUGUUCGUGAGGGGUUUCGGAUAGGUUGUUUUGAUGUUUAGGGGCAUUGCAGCCGCCGGAGCAGCCCCUGACGUGUGAGGCUGAAUCGUGUUCGUGUUGUCUGGUCCAAGAAUGUAAAGCAAAGUGCAUGGCUGUGGUUGCAGAAGGAUACAACGGGGCUGGCAACGGAGAACAACGAGCUGAAGCUGCGGCUGCAGGCUAUGGAGCAACAAGCUCAUCUACGCGACGGUACGUUCCUCCAGCACUCUUUGCGGUGAUUGUUACCGGAUGCUGGCAGGGAGUGUGAGUGACCGCGCACACGGGAAACAGUUGGCGUGGAUGUGUUCAGCAACGCGUGGGUAUGGGUACACCAGAUGUGUUUUUGAGUGGAACGGUUCGAGGUAGAAGCGAGAAGGCGAGGCUUUGUCGUGAGUUGGGAUGAUCAGAAGAGCAAGUCAUUGGACUAGUUGAGCGUGGGUCGAUGCCGCAUCUCCUGGUAACGAACGACUGGGAGCCGUCGGGCAAGGCGGCAGUGCAUAACGCAUUUGAUACAAUCCUUGAGAUAGGUUACGGUGAAAGCGUUUGUGUCGAGGGUCAGGACGUGGUCGUGGACCGCAGAAACUCCAGGAACGGUAGCGUGUCUCGUGGGGCGGUUUGGCUGUGGGCACAAUGGGCGAGUUCGUGUGGGGUUGCUUUGGGUGACAAGUCGCGGCGGGGCGUGGGGCCGUGUUCAGGCGUGUUGUGUGAAGGAGCAGGGUGCGUUGGCGAAGAUGGAGGUGUUGGAAUUGACUGGUCGUUUGUGACGUGCAGCUUUGAACGAAGCAUUGCGAGAGGAGGUCCAGCGGCUGAAGGUAGCAACGGGGCAAAUCAGCAACGGGAGCGUGCAGAAUUUGAGCAUGGGCGGGCAGCAUCUGUUCCAGAUGCAAAACCAAGCGUUCAAUUCGCAACAGUUGCAGCAAGCGCAAUCGGGUCUGAACAACCCCGCGCAGCAGCAGCAGCAGGCUUCGCAGGAGCAGAUGCAUUCCGAGUACAUGCAGCGCGGCGCAUACAAUCUUUCGAGCGGUUUCAUCAAGAACGAGGGACCGAGCAUUGCGGUGAAGCAUGCGAGCAGUGCGUCUUUUGGAUGAGGGGCGCGGUGGAAAGCGAGAGACGAUUUGAAGGGAAGAUAUCUGGAGAAGGCAGGUCGAGGGUGUUAUUCUUGGUCGUCGCAUGAUGUGUUGGCUGCGACACACCUGAGGGGUUCGUUGAUUGGAAUCCUCCCAGAAACGCUGCAAACCGACGGCGUGGAAGGUGAUACUCUGAAGGCGCGGGGAUGAACCUUGCCGAGUGGCUUUGGUCCAGUGGGUUUCGUUGUGCUAGGUGAAGCUUGUGAAGCCGAGGUUACGUCCACAAUGAGGUGAGAGGCAGAGCACGGGCUGACGUUUGCGGGAUGCGAACGACGAGAACGGGGUGGGUUGCGGGCAUCUCUGCCGGUGCAGGGUGCGAUAAUUUGGUGAAGGUCUCGGAGGCGCCAGGGCUGCAUGCUAUUUUUCGGGCCGUAUUGAAUCUGUGACCCACGGAGGUCCUGUUCAGAGAAAGUGGUACUGUAGUGUGGUCAUGAAGGCGUCUUAUACGUUUUUAUCUGUGUCUGUACACAGUUGUGAAGCUGGUUGUGGGUAGCUGUAGAUUGGAAGACAUGAUACAUGGACUAUGUUAUCGAGGGUCCACCUGAAGAGGAUAAUAUAUUCAUUGAUGUUGUGGAUUGACAAGCCGCCUUGUGACGGGACGUCUGAUUCAUGGUGGGGAUGAAGGUCCUGCGAUGGCAGUGCAGGUCGAUUGUUGUUUGCAGAAUGGGAAUGCAUCGGAUCUGGUGGCGGUUACACUUACUUAGCGUGAGGCAGGUGCGGUAAGUGCUUGCAUUGUUUUUUCGGCUGGGGUUGCACUUUACUCGGAAUUCCAUCUCUCUCUCUCUCGUGCACUUAUAUUCGUUCUCAGAUCAGGGCAUCCACCUCGACUAUGUUUUGGUUUGUUUAAAUCGAUGAAUACGAACACGGAUUGAACGAUGUGUUUGCAGUUUAUGAAUGUAUGGUUGUCUUGACGAAAGAACACAAGCAUGGACGAGUACUCUUGUUUUUGACGAAGAUGGUUUCAAAUGAGCUCUGGUCAUUGCAUCAAAUGGGAGUGGCCAGUUUUGUAGGCUUCAGCUCAUCGUGCACAAACUGUUCUCCAGUUUCGAGUGUUGGAUUUCAAUCGUUGACAAAACGUGGAUAAUUAUACACAUCUAAAAAUAGUUUUUCAAAUCUACAAACACAUCGAUAGUAAAUGGCCCUCCAAAUGAAUACAAAAGUAUUCAAAUAGACAAAUUUUUGUUAAUAUGUUUGUUAGCAUUGUUUCCCAGAUUAUCAGUAACAGUUUAGUAGUGGAAGUUUUAGGAUGCUUUUAUUGUACCUAAAUAAAUAUAUGAACACAUGGAUGUCCAUAUAUUUUUUUAAUAAUAUAUGCUAAUAAUUAUUAUAUGGUUGUGUUUUUAAAAUAGUUUUUAUGUCGAUUUUUAAAUUUUUUUUUUGAUAAAUACCUAAAUUAUAUGAAUUUUCUUGAUAGUUUUUUCUUUUUUCCGAAAUAAUGAUUAUUUAUUAUUUUUGCGGUAACUACUUUAUUCAAAAUCAAGUCUUGAAUUACUACCUUUUUAACAAACUUUCAUUUUGUACUGGAAAUCAUAAAUUUACUUAUUUCAAUAUUUGAAUUUGAAUAUUGUUUAAAGAGGUCAUAAUAUAUUUGUUUGAAAUCUAUUUUAUUUAUUGAUAUUAUUUGAAAGAUAUUAUUAUAAAAGUUCAAAUUUUAGAGACAAAUAUUUCAAUAUGAUAUUUAAAGUAAUUCUAAUUGAUAAAUUUACAAUCUAAAAGAAAAAAAAAUGAUGAAUUAUUGAAGAUAUAAUAAAGUUUAAAAUUUUAAAAAUAAAUCAUUAUGAAGAAUUUGAGCAAGCUUUGAAAGUCAUUGAAGGAUUGAAGAUUACUAAGAUGUUUUUAAAAAGCAUAGUGAAGUCAUAGUUUCAAAAAAUUUAAUUUUACUAUGAGAAUCUAGAAUGACAUUGAUAUAGUAGUAGUAGCUAUACUAGUUCUAAUGGUGCUUGUAUUCAUGGCCUCAAAGCAAGUUAGAUGUUACCAAAUUGCUCUUGAAUAGAUUAAGAAAUUGUUUGCCAAAGUGCCUUUAUUUGACACCUUUGUUAUAAUUUGUAAGUUGGCUCUAUUCAUGCAAUCAAGAUCUUUCUUUUUGCAACCAUUCUUUUAUGCCUCUAAAAUAUUGACAUGAACAUUGUGAAAAAUUGCAAGUAAAACUUUGUAAAUAAGCUAUAGCAGUAGUAUAUGCAAGGCUAACGAUUAAUAGUAUUUAUGUCUUCUAAAGAAGAAUUUGAAGCAUAGUAGAGUGCCUUUUUAGAAACUUGGAAUGACAUUUUUUUAGAGCAAUUACAUACAUCAAGAAUACUGUCAUGGACAUACGCAUGUAAGCCAAUAAUUACAUGUGUAAAUAGGUAGAAGUAAGUAAAAAUAGGUAAAAGUAAGUUAAUUCUAUAAUAUUUGCUAUGGAAGCUUUCUAGAAGCUUCAUAGACGAUGCUUUGACUUUAUAAGUGUCUUUAAUUGAUUUUUUGGAUUAGAAAUGUGGUCAACAAGUUGGCCAUGUGCCACACAUGUUGUUAGCUUGAAGAUCAAGCUAACUAUGUGGCCCACACGUAGAAAAACUUGCCUUGUAAGUCAAGGCAUGUAUCUUACAAAGUCAACACAUAUUGGAGGUCCUAUAAAACAUCACCAUGUAGCCCCUAGUUAGAUAAUAUAUAUAGAGAUAAGAGUGAAGCCCUCUUCUCUCUUGUCAACUAUUUUCUUGCUUCUAGUCUAAUUUCAAGGGUCUCUAGUUUUCUUGUCUUUUGGUAAUAGCUAUUCCAAUUUUUUUCUUAAUAUAUAUAUAUAUAUAUAUAUAUAUAUAUAUAUAUAUGUUGAAUUAUUUAUAUUUUGUCAUCUUCCUUUGACAAAAGUCUCACUUUUUUAUUUGUUUUUAUCAAAUUCAUGUCUUUGACAGAUUGACAAGAGUACACUUACAAUAUCAUAGCUUUGUCUAAUCUUGAUUAAAAGUAGAUUACUCCUUUCUCUUGAUAAGACAUAAGUGUAUUAGAAGUUGUGGAUUACCCUCUUCUAAACUGAUAUUGUCCUUAGUAUUUUCUUUGUUCUCAAGUCCUCUCUUCUAUUUGUCUUGAGCGAUAUUAGAUAUCUUCUCUUUUCUAAGUAUUAUCAUGGCAAAACUUGCUAAAAUAAAGAAUGCAAUGGCACAAAUGCAAGAGAAAUUGAGGGAGUUAAUGCUUGCGAUGCAUCAAUUCAAUUUACCACCACAAGGAGCAACAAGAUUGGCAAGAAGUGAAGAUAUAAAAAUGAUUGGAGUUGCUUCAACAUCUGCACCAAAUCAUGUCUCUUCUCCAAUGGUGGAAUGCCCUUCCAGUGUUAGAGAACCAAAAAUUGCCAUAUUCGAGAAGUUUGAUGGCACCAGAUUAAAGUUUAGAGGAUUUAUCAAUCAAGUACAACUUAGAGUUGAACUUCAAACCCAAAGCUAUCCAACUCCAAGAUCGCAAGUUAGAUUCAUUAGUAUGCUUCUUUCAGGUUCAGCAUUAUCAUGGUUUUCAUCUCUUCUUGAAUGACAAGAUCCAAUAUUGGAUAAUUUGGAGGCUUUUUUGGUGGAUUUUUGAUCCAUGUAUGGAGAACAUGAUGCAAUUCGUGUUGCAACCAAGAAUAUUCAUUUUUUGUGACAAGAUAAUCGAUCAAUAAUGUUGUACGCUUCACAGUUUUAACAACUUGUAACUAAUAUUAAGUGGGAUGAUGUUGCACUUGUUAGCCAAUUUUUCUAUAGAUUACAAUAUGAGGUAAAAAAAUUAAUGCUCAACUUAUUUGUUCUUCAAACAUUGAGUCAAGCAAUUGACUUUGCUAUGAAGUGCGACAAUCAUCUUUUUGAAUUCUGAUUUGAGAACAGUACAAGUGGACCUCAACGUUACUAUAAAUCAAUGGCAAUACCAACAUCUCUUCAACACAUACAUUUGGAAUUAGAGGAUAUGCAAAUUGAUGCAAUAUAUUUCAAACUUUCUACUGAGUAAGAAAAGACUCUUUAUCAUCAAGAAGGAUUGUGCUUAUAUUGUAGAGAACCUAAGCACAUUGCUCAACAUUGCCCAAAGAAGCGAUGCAACCAUAAAAUAAGGAGUACGGUGAUCAAAGAAGAUAGCAUGUCGAAAAACGAAUUUGUCUAGCUACAAUAAGGACCGUGCGGCUGGAACCUUGUACAAUGCCUAGUGAAGGUCCUAUUCUCUCCUUAGAACCCUCUCCAUGUUUUAUGAUAAAUGUUAUUCUAGGACCUAAACAUCACAAAGCCUUUGCCUUGCUAGAUUCAGGAGCUUCAACAUGUUUCUUAAAUGAAGAAUUUGCUAAAAGACAUAGCAUACUUUUAGUGAAGAAAACUAAACUUGUUCAUGUAGAAGUCAUAGAUGGUCGUCCAUUGUCUUCAAGAGAUGUUACUUAUAAAACCCUUCCUAUAGAAGUAGCAACUAAUGGUCAUAGUAGCUUUGUAAUAUUUAAUAUCAUUAGAUCUUUCUCUAAUCUAGUCAUUUUAGGUUUAUCAUGGCUAGAAAAAUAUAAUCCUAAAAUAGAUUAGACUUCUCAUAGUCUUGAUUUUUUUGAAAGUAUAACUAAGAGCGUAGUUAAUCAAGUAGAAAGUCAUAAGUCUAAUACAAUUAAAUUUGUAUUUGUAGGUAUAAGAGCUUUCUUGCAUACUGCAAAAGAAUGAUCACCUUGUGUCAUUUAUGCCACACCUGUUUCUACUGGUGGAAAGACUUCAAGUGGCAUUCCAAGCCAAUAUCAAGAUUUUCAAGAUGUAUUUGAGAAGAAAAAUAUGGAUACUCUUUCGGAACAUCGUUCCUAUGAUUGCUCAAUUAACCUUUAAGAAGAAGAUUAAUCGCUAUUUGGACCAAUCUAUAAAUUAUCACAAAAUAAGUUGGCUGAACUCAAAGAGUAUAUUGAAUAGAAUUUGGCCAAGAACUUAUGCCAUUCCAAAACUCCAAUAGGAGCUCUAAUUUUAUUUUUGAAGAAAAAAGAUGGAUCAUUGUAGAUAUGUGUCGAUUAUCGAGGACUCAACAAAAUCACUAUCAAGAACAGGUAUCCACUACCUUUGAUACCGGGACUCUUAAAUGAGUUGAAUCAAGCUAAGAUCUAUAUAAAAAUAGAUCUAUGGGGAGCAUACAAUAUGGUAUGCAUUAAAAAAGGAGAUGAAUGGAAGAUUGCAUUUUGAACAAGGUAUGGACAUUUUGAAUACAACAUCAUGCCUUUUGGACUUACAAAUGCACCAACAACAUUCCAACAUCUAAUGAAUGAUGUCUUUUGGGAGUUUUUAGAUGAUUUUGUUGUCUGUUACCUAGACGACAUCUUAAUCUAUUCUAAGAAUACAUAAGAAUAUGAACUUCAUGUUUAUCAUGUGUUAAAAAAAUUAAGAGAUGUGGGACUCUAUGCCAAGAUAAAAAAGUGUGUAUUUCACACUACUCAAGUCGAUUUCUUAAGAUACAUUAUUUCAAAUGAUGGACUUAUGAUGGAUCCUAAGAAAAUUCAAACUAUUAUUAAUUGAAAAUUCUCAAAAAUGGUAAGAGAUGUCCAACACUUUUUGGGAUUUGCCAACUACUAUCGGAUCUUCAUCAAAGACUUCUCUCAAGUUGGAGUACCACUUACUUGUUUGACUUGUAAAGACAAACUUCAAUGGAAUCAAAAAGUGGAAGUAGCAUUUGAAGCUUUGAAGACAAUCUUUGUUUGUGUAUUAAUCUUGUAUCAUGUCAAUUUUUCUAAGCCAUUUUUUAUGGAAAUAGAUGCAUCAGACUUUGCUUUGGAUGCCGUAUCGUCACAAAUGGGAAUAGAUGAUAAACUUUAUCUAAUAGCUUUUCAUUCCAAAAAAAUUUCAAUAGUCGAGAUCAACUACAAGAUCCAUGACAAAGAACUUCUUGCAAUCAUGGAUUUGUUUCAAGAAUGGCGCUAUUAUCUAAAAAAUACUUCUAAUCCAGUCACCAUGUAUACAGAUCACAAGAACCUUGAGUAUUUUAUAUCAGCACAUAUUUUGAAUUGUUGCCAAACUUGUUGGAAUAUGUCUUUGUCAAGAUUCAAAUUCAAGAUCACUUAUUGAGUAAGAAAACAACAAGGUUUAUCAGAUACACUCUCUAAAUGAUCUUAUCUUGUACCAAAGGAAAGAGAUGCUGCUUUUGAUCAACAACGGAUAAUUCUCUUGAAGCCAAAGCAUCUUCAUCUUUGAGCAAUAAAAUCAAUAUUAACUAUUGAUUCAACCUUUAUUAAGCAAGUUCAAUUAAGUAUAUCUUUUGAUCUUCUUAUUUGUGAUAUUAAAGAAAAUCCUUCAAAGUCUCAUGAUACUUCCAAGUUUGAAUUCAAGAACAAUCUACUAUAUUUUAAGGGAUGCCUAUAUGUUCCAGAAGGUGAAGCUCGAUUACGUGUUCUUCAAGCUCGUCAUGACUUUUCAACAACAGGACAUUUUGGAUAUAAUAAAACUUUGGAACUAAUAUCCAAGGACUUUUGGUGACCCCAAAUUUAGAAAUUAGUCAAAGAUUUUGUGCAAUCUUGUGAUGUUUGCUCGAGAUCAAAAACUCCUCGCUAUCAACUUUAUGGACUUUUUCAGCCAUUAUCCAUUCCAGAACAACCAUGGUCUUCUGUUUCUAUGGAUUUCAUCACGGAUCUUUCAAUCUCAGGUUCUUAUGACUCUAUAUUCAUGAUAGUAGAUCGUUUUACCAAGAUGGCACAUUUUGUACCUUGUACAAAAUCCAUCUUAGGUGAAGAAACAACUAAGCUCUUUCUUGACAAUAUCUAUCGCUAUCAUGGAUUAUCCAAGAAUAUUAUAUCAGAUAAGGCAACUCAAUUUGUAUCAAGAUUUUAGCGGACUCUUUUCAAGAUUCUAAAAGUGGAUAUAUAACUAUCUUCGACAUUCCACCUUCAAACUGAUGGACAAACAGAGCGUAUUAAUUAAGUUUUGGAGCAAUAUUUAAGAUGUACCAUCAACUACCAAUAAGAUGAUUUGAUAACUCUUUUGCCAUUGGCAGAGUUUGCUAAUAAUAAUAUAGUACAUUCUUCUAUAAAACAAAUCCCUUUCUUUGCCAAUUAUGGUUAUCAUCCACGACUUGAUACUUUUGACUUUUUAAAAGUUGAUAAUCCUUCGAUGAAAUAUUUGGCAAUUUAUUUGUGAAAACUACAUGUAAUGAUGAAGGCUUUGUUGAAAGAAAUUCAAGAACAACAAAUGGUCCAUGCGGAUGUCUAUCGAAAGGAACAACCACCAUUUCACGCGAGUGAGAAGAUAUGGUUACUUUGUGGCAAUAUCAAGACCACUCAUCCUUGUGACAAGUUGGACUAUCAAAGGCUUAGAUCAUUUUCUAUUUCUGCACAAAUCAAUACAAUUUCAUAUCAUUUAUACCUACCGAAAUCAAUGAAAAUCCAUUUAGUAUUCUAUGUGUGUCUUCUUAAACCAUAUAAGAUAAUGGAUAUAGCAAGAAGAAGACAAGUUCUACCUCCUCCUAUAGAAGUGGAUAAUAAUAUAGAGUUCGAAGUGAAAGAAGUCCUAGAUUCAAGGCGACACCAAAAUAAAUUAGAAUAACUUGUCUAUUAGCGCGGAUAUGAUAUUAAUGAACGCACAUGAGAGCUAAUAAAGAAUCUUACAAAUGCAUCAAAGACGGUGGAGGCUUUUCAUCGAUGACAUCUAUCAAAAUCAAGAUGAAAAUCUCUUUUAUAAAAGAAAUAAGAUCUAGGAAAGUUAACAUUCUAUUUUCAAUCCUUGUUUAUAGCUUCUUUGUAGUUGUGAUGCUGAGGAGAUGGAGAACCAACAACCAGCAAAUUCAACUCAAGAACCUUUGUUUCUAACUUGCUAGACGAGACAUUACAAUUGUCACAAUCUUCAAGAUAAUGCAAUCAAGAUGAAGAUCUUUAAGAAUGACAUGUUCUUAUUGAAAUAGAUGGCGAGAUACAAUGCAUUUGGUAUCACAACCUUGGAAGGGACUCCCAAUGUUUGGUGAUUUUACUAGAGGUAGGAAUAACUUCUGACAAUGUUCCAAAUGUUUUAUUCGAAAGAAGUUAUAAAGGCCUCAAAAAUGACCAAAUAAUUGGGUGGUCUUCCUACCCUGGUAUGGAAGACUAUCGAUAGUUGAGAGGCCCUAUCAAUCAUCUUCAAAGAAAACAAAGAUCAGAGUAUAAGGUGAAUACAAUUUGUUGCAUUAUAGAUUUCUUUAACAUAUGAUGACCACUCAUCGUGGAACUUGUCCUUACAAGGAGAAGUAAUGUCAUGGACAUAUGCAUGUAAGCCAAUAAUUACAUGUAUAAAUAAGUAGAAGUAGAUAAAAGUAAGUUAAUUCUAUAAUAUUUACUAUAGAAGUUUUUUAAAAGCUUUAUUGAUGCUGCUUUGACUUUAUAGGUAUCUUUAAUUGACUUUUUGGAUUAGAAACGUGGUCAACAAGUUGGCCAUGUGCCACACAUGUUGUUAGCUUGAAGACCAAGGUAACUAUGUCACCCACACGUAGAAAAACUUGCCUUGUAAGUCAAAGCAUGUGUCCUACAAAGUCAACAUAUAUUGGAGGUCCUAUAGAAUAUCAUCACAUAGCCCCUAGUUAGAUAGUAUAUAUAGAGACAAGAAUGAAGCCCUCUUCACUCUUGUCAAGUUCUUUCUUGCUUCUAGUCUAGUUUGAAGGGUCUCUAGUUUUCUUGUCUUUUGGCAAUAGCCAUUCCAGUUUCUUUCUUAAUAUACACAUUGAGUUAUUUCUAUUUUGUCAUCUUUCUUUCAGAAAAGUCUCACUUGUUUAUUUGUUUUUAUCAAGUUCUUGUCCUUGACAAAUACAUAGAUUGCUAUGCAUAAGGAAUUGUUUCUUGUUGCUUAUAUAAAUAUGAUUCAUCACUUUGGUAAUUCUAUAAUCUUUGUAGCAGAUGAUAUGCAUUACAUGGUUAAGCAAUAUCUUGAAUCAAGUUUGACCUACUUGACAUAUGCUAGUCUGCGCAACUUUGUAUUAAGAAUAUUCAUAAGAAAUAUGUGGUGAAAUACUCUUAUAAAAAGAUACACAUCUUGAUAUUUAUCAAUCUAACUCCUUACCAUGAGAUCUUUUUAGAUGUCAAUGGAUUAAACUUUUAGUAUACAUUGAGAAAUAUAUAUAUAUAUAUAUAUAUAUAUAUGAGCAUAUAAAUUUUAAAUUGUAAGUGGUUAAAAAAUAUAAAUAUUAAUACUCAUUAUUUAAUGCAUUCUAGGUUAAACUUGUAUAUUUGCAUGUCAUAGGCAAUAUUGAACCUUAAAUAAGGAUCAUUACUACAACACUUGGUUUGCCAUGCUCACAUGAAAUUUAAACUAUAUUGUAUGAACAACGACACUUUAACCUCAACAACUUUAGUUACUAUUGACACUUACAAAAACCAACAACAAUAUCUUUUCUUUAUAAAAAAAAACUCACUUCUUUGUAAGACAUGCUAGAACAAAUUUUUGCAACCAUCAUUAGCCUUCUUCUACAUUAAUAAAUAUAUGCACUUGUGGAACUCUAAACUAUUUCAUAACAAGAGCUACAACCUAUUGAUAAAUUGUAGAAGAUAUUGACAAGAAAGAGCUUGGUGUAGAAGAAUGAUACAAAAAGAAAUCGAUUUAGAUUUGAUUAUACUUGAUGCAAAGCAUUGACAAUGUCUUACAAUAUAUUUAGUAUUAUUGGACAUUUGCAAAAAAAAAAAAAGGUGGUCACAAUUUAGACAAAUAAUAGUAGGAUUGGAACUUACAAUGGAACUAGAGAGUUGAGGGAGAAAUAUAGGACUUGUAGUGAGUUUAGGAGUUGUGGCUAAAUUAAGAAAUUAGAGAAGAAGUCAAAGAUUUAUGAGGGGACAAGAAAGAAAGAGAAGAGGUCUAAGUCUUAUAUUGAGACAAGAAAGAGGAGAAGUAUAUUUAAGACCUAUAUCACUAUAUUUAAACAAAGAAACUAAUCAAAAGCCUUGUAUGUGUAUAUCAACAUAAUAGAUGUGCAUAUAACAAUUUAGAUAAAAAUUAAUUAGAAAAAAUAUGAAUUACUCAAAAAAUAUGUAUCUAUAUAUUAAAUUACAUAUUUAGGUGCAUUGUUGUGUUAUAACACAACUAUAAGGUGAAAUAGGAAAAUAUGAAUUAUAGUUUAAAAAAAAAAUUGUAAAAGAUAGAAAGACAAGAAAUGCAAUUAGUGUUAAUGAUGAUUUUUUUGUAAAAAAGAGUUCUAUUUAUUUUAUAGGAUUCUAAAUAAGGCAUAUUUAAAUAAAAAAUUUAGCAAAAAUUAAGUUUGAAAACUAGAAAUUAAUAUCUAAAAAGGACUAAUUAUAAACUAGGACAAAAACCAAAUCUUGAGGUACAAAAUUGUGUACCUAUGGCAAUUUUGAGAUUCUUUUGUUGAUCAAAGAGUAGAGCUUGAGAACAAAAUAUAAAAAAAUUCCUCAAGAAUUGAUUUAGGUGAUUUGAAUUUUAAUGACUUUCUAAGAAUUUUACAAAGUCAAGGUUGUUUUGAGGUGACUUUGGUUUUUUUGAAAUAAAAAUGGUUUAUAUUUUGAAAUAUUUUGUGAAAUUUAAAAUAGAUCCAUAAGUAAAAAUUUACAAAUUUUUUAUUAUUUUGAGUUAAACAUGUAUUGUAGGUUUAAGCAUGAUUAAAUAAUUAAAUUAAAAGAUAUUAAAAUUUAAAUGAAUUGAAAUCUUAAAAAUUGGAUACUAGAAGGUUAAUAAUGUUUUUUAAGAUAUUCUAUAAUUUUCCAAUUGGAUUGAAGUGAAUUUUUAUAAAUUAUUAGAAAACUUAAUUAUGAAAAAUUUGAAAGUAAUUGGAUGAUGAAAACAAGAGAUAUUGGUGUUGAAAGAUCAACAUUAGGAUUUGAAAAUAAGUCUAGUUGAUAUCCAAGUAGAUUAUAAGGUUUUUAUUUUAUUUGGUAAAUUUGAUCCUCUUCGAAUUCUUUAUGUGUAUUUUUAAAUAAAAAAUUAAAAAAUAUAAAUUUUUUGAGUCAAAAUCAAUAAUUUAAUUAUUAGUUAUUAAGGUUUUGAAUCUAUAAUAAGAUUUAGUCGGAAUUACUUAGGUUUUCUUUGAUAUUUGAUUAGAAUUUAUUAAGAAUUUAAUAAGGUUUUUUUUUUUUUUUUUUUUUUUUUUUUUAAUUCUAUCAGAUUUUUAUGAUUUUUUAAAAAUUUCUUUAAGAUUUCUAUAGAAUUUUAUUAAGAUUUGAUUAGGAUUGUUAAGAUUCAAUUGAGAUUUAUUUAGGAUUCUAUUUGAGCUUUCACAUUCUUUAUUAUUGAAAAAUUUAAAUUUACCUUCAAUAGCCAAGUGCCUAAUGCAUUCUAUCAAAUAAUAUCAAUAAAUAAAAUAGAUUUCAAACAAAUAUAUUAUGACCUCUUUAAACAAUAUUCAAAUUCAAAUAUUGAAAUAAGUAAAUUUAUGAUUUCCAGUACAAAAUGAAAGUUUGUUAAAAAGGUAGUAAUUCAAGACUUGAUUUUGAAUAAAGUAGUUACCGCAAAAAUAAUAAAUAAUCAUUAUUUCGGAAAAAAGAAAAAACUAUCAAGAAAAUUCAUAUAAUUUAGGUAUUUAUCAAAAAAAAAAUUUAAAAAUCGACAUAAAAACUAUUUUAAAAACACAACCAUAUAAUAAUUAUUAGCAUAUAUUAUUAAAAAAAUAUAUGGACAUCCAUGUGUUCAUAUAUUUAUUUAGGUACAAUAAAAGCAUCCUAAAACUUCCACUACUAAACUGUUACUGAUAAUCUGGGAAACAAUGCUAACAAACAUAUUAACAAAAAUUUGUCUAUUUGAAUACUUUUGUAUUCAUUUGGAGGGCCAUUUACUAUCGAUGUGUUUGUAGAUUUGAAAAACUAUUUUUAGAUGUGUAUAAUUAUCCACGUUUUGUCAACGAUUGAAAUCCAACACUCGAAACUGGAGAACAGUUUGUGCACGAUGAGCUGAAGCCUACAAAACUGGCCACUCCCAUUUGAUGCAAUGACCAGAGCUCAUUUGAAACCAUCUUCGUCAAAAACAAGAGUACUCGUCCAUGCUUGUGUUCUUUCGUCAAGACAACCAUACAUUCAUAAACUGCAAACACAUCGUUCAAUCCGUGUUCGUAUUCAUCGAUUUAAACAAACCAAAACAUAGUCGAGGUGGAUGCCCUGAUCUGAGAACGAAUAUAAGUGCACGAGAGAGAGAGAGAUGGAAUUCCGAGUAAAGUGCAACCCCAGCCGAAAAAACAAUGCAAGCACUUACCGCACCUGCCUCACGCUAAGUAAGUGUAACCGCCACCAGAUCCGAUGCAUUCCCAUUCUGCAAACAACAAUCGACCUGCACUGCCAUCGCAGGACCUUCAUCCCCACCAUGAAUCAGACGUCCCGUCACAAGGCGGCUUGUCAAUCCACAACAUCAAUGAAUAUAUUAUCCUCUUCAGGUGGACCCUCGAUAACAUAGUCCAUGUAUCAUGUCUUCCAAUCUACAGCUACCCACAACCAGCUUCACAACUGUGUACAGACACAGAUAAAAACGUAUAAGACGCCUUCAUGACCACACUACAGUACCACUUUCUCUGAACAGGACCUCCGUGGGUCACAGAUUCAAUACGGCCCGAAAAAUAGCAUGCAGCCCUGGCGCCUCCGAGACCUUCACCAAAUUAUCGCACCCUGCACCGGCAGAGAUGCCCGCAACCCACCCCGUUCUCGUCGUUCGCAUCCCGCAAACGUCAGCCCGUGCUCUGCCUCUCACCUCAUUGUGGACGUAACCUCGGCUUCACAAGCUUCACCUAGCACAACGAAACCCACUGGACCAAAGCCACUCGGCAAGGUUCAUCCCCGCGCCUUCAGAGUAUCACCUUCCACGCCGUCGGUUUGCAGCGUUUCUGGGAGGAUUCCAAUCAACGAACCCCUCAGGUGUGUCGCAGCCAACACAUCAUGCGACGACCAAGAAUAACACCCUCGACCUGCCUUCUCCAGAUAUCUUCCCUUCAAAUCGUCUCUCGCUUUCCACCGCGCCCCUCAUCCAAAAGACGCACUGCUCGCAUGCUUCACCGCAAUGCUCGGUCCCUCGUUCUUGAUGAAACCGCUCGAAAGAUUGUAUGCGCCGCGCUGCAUGUACUCGGAAUGCAUCUGCUCCUGCGAAGCCUGCUGCUGCUGCUGCGCGGGGUUGUUCAGACCCGAUUGCGCUUGCUGCAACUGUUGCGAAUUGAACGCUUGGUUUUGCAUCUGGAACAGAUGCUGCCCGCCCAUGCUCAAAUUCUGCACGCUCCCGUUGCUGAUUUGCCCCGUUGCUACCUUCAGCCGCUGGACCUCCUCUCGCAAUGCUUCGUUCAAAGCUGCACGUCACAAACGACCAGUCAAUUCCAACACCUCCAUCUUCGCCAACGCACCCUGCUCCUUCACACAACACGCCUGAACACGGCCCCACGCCCCGCCGCGACUUGUCACCCAAAGCAACCCCACACGAACUCGCCCAUUGUGCCCACAGCCAAACCGCCCCACGAGACACGCUACCGUUCCUGGAGUUUCUGCGGUCCACGACCACGUCCUGACCCUCGACACAAACGCUUUCACCGUAACCUAUCUCAAGGAUUGUAUCAAAUGCGUUAUGCACUGCCGCCUUGCCCGACGGCUCCCAGUCGUUCGUUACCAGGAGAUGCGGCAUCGACCCACGCUCAACUAGUCCAAUGACUUGCUCUUCUGAUCAUCCCAACUCACGACAAAGCCUCGCCUUCUCGCUUCUACCUCGAACCGUUCCACUCAAAAACACAUCUGGUGUACCCAUACCCACGCGUUGCUGAACACAUCCACGCCAACUGUUUCCCGUGUGCGCGGUCACUCACACUCCCUGCCAGCAUCCGGUAACAAUCACCGCAAAGAGUGCUGGAGGAACGUACCGUCGCGUAGAUGAGCUUGUUGCUCCAUAGCCUGCAGCCGCAGCUUCAGCUCGUUGUUCUCCGUUGCCAGCCCCGUUGUAUCCUUCUGCAACCACAGCCAUGCACUUUGCUUUACAUUCUUGGACCAGACAACACGAACACGAUUCAGCCUCACACGUCAGGGGCUGCUCCGGCGGCUGCAAUGCCCCUAAACAUCAAAACAACCUAUCCGAAACCCCUCACGAACAACCACCGACCGGAAGCCCGGUGACAGCACCAACACGUCUACACAAGUCCACGAUUUCGCACACAAACCUGCAACAUUGCGAGCUGCGUGGAAAGCGUUGUGGCUUCCGUCUGCAAACCCUGCACCUUGCGCUCAAGUUCUGAGAUGUAACGCAUCUUCCGUUCCUUGGAACGUGCUGCCGAUUGCCGAUUCGCCAAAAUCCUGAACCGUAACGUACUUCAUGUCAGACGACCGAGCCACAACCCUGAUCCACUACUCAGCUCGUCCCUCAACUUCCCCACUCGGCCUCACACCACACAACCGAAUAACAACACCCCGCUCUCACCAACAUCCACGCAUGCUACUGUAGCCACUGCAGUCCUGACCACCCACAGACUGCACCCCGUCUCACUGAGCUCGGACCCCACUUGCGCCCGCUGCCUACCAAGAAUUACAUCCCCUCCCAUGCGGAAUCACGGCACCAAAUUGCACCACAGAAACGAAACCCCGUCCAGGCACACCACGGGGACAAUGUCUGAACACGGGCAAACGUACUAACACUCAAUCAUGCCGCGCAUUCCAAUCCACGCUUCCGUCCCCGCUCCUCUGCAGCUGCCCUUCGCGUCACUGCCAUACCCAUGGCUCGUCACAAACAUCCCUCCCCUCCCUCACCCGUGCUGUAACCGACACAGGAAGACGGCUCAUUGGAAUCUCACCUCUUCGCGCGCUUGGGAUCAAUCAGCGCUAUCUCCGAAAGCUUUGCAGACGCCAUCACUUUCUUCGUAUCCCCCUCGAAAUCGCCCGACAACAGAUCGUGCCUGAAAGAAGUCGAUCCGUCCAUCGAGCUGCUGUGCCCGUGCCGCGGCCUUCGAGCCUCCGAUGGCGCCGAAUUGUUGCCCCCGCCCCCGCCCACGCCCACGCCCGUCCUGUUGCCCGCCAAGUUCCCCAGACUCCCAUCCGCGGACAAACUCCUCGCAUGAUGGGCGGAGGGAGCGGGUGCAUUGCUCCCUUCACCACCCGCUUUCGCACCCGCUUGCCCCGAUGUCCCACUCAUGUUGUUUAUCUGCUCCAUGUCAAUGUACAUCGAAAACAGAUCCUCCGCGCCAUCGUCAGAAAGUGUCGGCAUUUCGGAUCCGUGCACGCCCAGCUCGCUCUCGAAGGACGCAUCGUCUGGAAGCCGGAAUGCGAUUUCCGACUGCGCACGGCGGUGCCCUCUUCGUCGGGGAGGAGUGUCCGGCAUCUGGUUCACAUCUGUGCUAAAAUUGUGCCCCGGGCUGGGCAUCCGCGGGGGCUGCCCCGACCCCGAAAUGCUUGCAGGACUGGCCGAGGUCACAGCGUCUUGCAUGUUCACCUCCAGCGAAUAAGACUCUCGCGAUCUCAUCGACGUCUCCGACACGGACGGAGACGUCUCCCUCUUCACCGUGAACGGGUGAGAGGUCGACGGAUACCCGACAUAGCGCGACUGGUGGAGCUGAGACUGGGAAGGAUGCGGAGGGUGCGCGGCAAUAUUGCUCGUGGAAGAGCUCCCAGACCCCUUGCCCACGCUCGUCGCACCAAAUUCCGACUGCAGCCGUUCCACAAACGCAUCGUAGCCCUUGCCCAGACCCUCCAUCGCGCCCCGCGUCCGAGCCCUCCCGCUGCGACCUGCCCUGCUCUUCACCCCGUAAACGGAGAACCCUCAACCCCACUCGCAACAACUGCAACCAACCCAAGGCGCGCCCUAUGCUCAGCGACCUCCUCCAGCAGCUUCGCCCGUGAAACUACCUACGCCCGUAUCGGCCAGACGCCCUCAGCAUGAUACCCUGUCAUUCCUAGUGCAUCCCCGUUUCAGGAUCCCCUCCGCACGGCACCAACUCCUUCCGCCUACCUCCUCCUCCUCCUUUAGCAGACUCGGGGCGCACUGAGCGCACCAGAUCAAACCGCAGCACCGCAACCCCCUCCUCGAGACACAGAAACAUCAAAAAUUGCAAUGGUCUGCCAGGCCCUCCACGCAAUUCUUUACAGACACAAGGGAAGCAAGCGGAGAAACCAAAAGAGGGAAAACAAUUCAAACCAGGACAAAAUCGGGGCACGAGCAGCCAGACCCGGACCCCAGCGUGGCCCCGAACACCGACCCGACCCGGCACUCUCCUCAAAGCAAGAGAGGCGACUGCGAUCUGGAACCAAAUCCAUCAUUCCCCCGAACACCGUGAAACACGCCGGGAAGACCAACCCCACCUCGCCCCUUUUCCACUCCCCCUCCUCUCCAGACCUCUUCCCCCCCCCCCCCCCCCCCGCGCCACCCACCCUCUACUGAAUACUGAUGACCAAGAGUACAAUUUUGCCUUAUUGAUUCUUAUUAACCGUGAGUAACAUCAUUUGUUGGGGGACACCAACUUGCACUUUUUAGGGUCGUAUACAAGCCUGAUUUCAUUUCUGUAAAUUCUCAUAAUCAUGAUUAUGCCUGCUUUCACCGUUAAUGAAUUCAAUCGUUCAUUUUAUGAGUCUACACUCUUGUUGAAGUGAGCAUCCAUUCAUGAUAGUUUGUACUGCGAUCCGUUAACAUUCCAGUUAGCAAUCCAUAUAAUGGUUUGGAUUUUUGAAAUUCUUUGUAUCGGUUAUGAAAUGUUUUUAACAUAAUUUAUGUUUUUCCUUAAACUUAAGAAUAUGUCAUUUCAUGAAGAAGAGGUAGAAAAGAAUGGACAGCAAUUUUUUGAACAGUUCUUUCCAAGGUUUGGGCCAAUUAUUCCCAUCGUUUGUUAUUAUUUCUUAUCUUUGAUAAUCAUUCAAUUUGAACAUUUUAACAUAGCACCACCCAUCUUUCUAUGAUUAUCUUGUAUCGCCACUUAUGGUAUAAAUAUUCCAUGUAACUUUAUUCAUAUUGAGAUACUAAGUUAUAAUUAUCAUCUUUUUUUAUUAUGAUCUUUAGCUUCUUUUUCCAAACCUUAAUGUGUUUUUAAUUACUCAUAAUUACUCCACUUCCAUCACAACUUUCAUUUCAAAUGCGUCUGCGUCAUGUUAUGAAUUAUUCACCCUCAACACUACAGUACGUAUUAGGUUUCUGAAGACUUCAUAACCAAUCAGUUAAUGGAAAAGUGCAUUGACUUGGCCAAGGAUUGCCAUAUCUUUAUAAUACAUGUUAUUGAUUCCUGCGCCUUCCAAUCUUGUUCCGACUGCUGAAGCUCACCAAAGUUGUCACGAGGAUCUUGCCAAACUCAAAGCUAGCAAGCAGGAUUUCUCAUCUCAGUCAGAAGAGGCUAAACUGAAUCCGCAAAAGAAUAUGAGAAAUCAGCUUUGGAAUCACCUUCAAAAACGUUUCAUUAUUUCUGGAUUCCUAUCAGUACAUAGGCACAACCUUCGGUGAAGGUAUGAGAUUUCUAGACCCUUCAGGAUAAGGAAAAACUGAGAGCCCUGUUCCAGGCAUUCCUGUCUGCACCACUACACCCUGGGGUCAAUUGUUUAUGACACAUUGGACUUGCGGUAACCCUUCUGAGUCAACACAGUUUCUAGAAUUUAGUAGCGAUACUGCAUCUGUUGCAAUUACAACCGCGACAUUAGUGUCAAGAGAGAAUAUUUGAACAUGGGGCAUCUAUGUUCCGUAAUCAGUUUUAAGGCAAGCCAGAGAAGUCAUCCUAGUUGUGAGCUGAUCAUCCGGCUCACCUCCUUGAUUAGAUACUUGUGUAAGCACCUGUGAAAACUCUCUGCCAUCUACCCUAAGGAUGAAAUUGAAUGGAUGUGCACUGAAGCAAAUUUGAGAUUGGAAGGAAAUAAAUACCACAAAACACGUUAGCAGCAGCAAAUUCUAUCACCUAGUGUAACGAGUUAAUUAUGUAUGCUACGCCAAAUCACUGAAACUACAGAACCCAACUAAUUAUAAUGAAGCUUUGAAACUAAUCUCACAGUGCCCCUCUCAUCCUGCUUCGGAGGUGCUGAGCUUUUCGUGGCCACUGGUUGCGAUCAGGGCUGACCAUUUCAGUCACAGGUUUUGGACGUGUUGAAAUCAUGACGGAAUGAGAGGAUCUCUCCACCUAAUUCCCUCACGGUUGCAGUGCUAGUUCCAAUCGUAGCCUUAGGCCUGUUUAUUCGAUCUAUUCCUGGGGCUGAAUCGGUGUUCCUUCAAGUUCACCAGUACGACUCUCAGUGUGUGCUAUUGAUCAAACUGUGAUCGUAGCAAAGCUCCAGAUUCCUAGGGUGUAGUGGCAAUCACUCCUAUGCAACCCUUGAUUCCAUAGACCGAUUUCUUAAUCCCGUGGUAGACAGACUUCCAAUAUGAGAAGCAACUUUCUGGAGUAAACUGCGUUGUCGAGGAUGUUAACAUUCAAGCACGUAGAUACUUCGAGCAAGGGUUGAAGAUUAAAGAGAAAGAUGGUGGCAAAUUGCUGCUGCUCCAACCUGCUGCUCCAUUUGAAUUGGAUUGUUAUCGACCUCAAGGAUAUGUUCACUCAUCUGAAAAGGAUUUAGUACUGUUGAAUUAAUGCAGCAUUGCUUGAUCAGGUUUGCUCAGGUUUUAGAGUUAUUUUGCAAUUUUGAAAACCUCCUAUUUUUUAUAUUGUAGAUUUUUUGAGCAUUAUAAAUGUAUCAUUAGGAUCACAAGCAUCAAAAACAUGUAGGUGGAUCAACUCAAAAUUUUGAAAAAACAAAGAAAAAUCAAAGUCAAUUCAAGAAAAAAUAAAAUAACCAAGUCAAAGGUCCUAUAUCUAAAAAUUAAAAAAACUUCUAGAAUAUUGUGAGUCCAUCAUUAAAUUUUUAGACUUCUAAAAUAAAUUUUUAAAAAAAUAGAUCAAAUUAAAACUUAUAAAAAUUUAUCUAUUUGUAAAGUCAACUUAAAACUCAAAAAGGCCAAAUCCUGAAUUUUCACAAAUCUAUACAUUUUUAGAAUAGUUCAAACAUAUAUUUGCAAUAGAUAAUUUCUAAAUGCAGUUAAUAGUAUUUUCAAAACCCUCAAAAAAUUUUCUGUAACAAAAUUCAAAAUCCUAAAACUGAAAUCAAAGUUGUUAUAUCUUAUAAAUUAAGAACUUAUAGAACAAGUUAUUUAUACCAUUAAAAUUAUAGAUAUCAAAGAUGAGAGGUAGAUUAAGUCAAAAUCCAAAAAUAAAUGGGUCAAAAAAUUGAACACAUUUAUAUAAUUCUAAAUUCUAAAUCUUAAAUCCUAUAUUCUUAACUUUAGAUUUCUAAUCUUAAAUCUGAAAUCCUAAUCUAAAAUUCUAAACUUAAAUCCUAAAUUUUAAAUUUAGAAGAUAGGUCAAUUUAAAAUUUAUAAAAUCCUAUUCAUUUACAAAAUUAAUUUUAAAUUUUAAAUAGUUAAAUCUUCAAUAUUCACAAAUUUAUACACUUUUAGAGCAAUCCAAAUACAUAUUUAGAAUUUUUAACUUCCAAUGCAUCCAUUGAUCUAUUCAAAAAUUCAAAAAUUCUUCUACAACAAAAGUUAAAAUUUAAAGUCUAAGUUAGAGUUACUAUACCUUGCAAAUUAAAAACUUAUAAAAUAAGUUAUUUACAUUGUAAGAAUUAUAGACUCCAAAAACAAGAUUUUUUUAAUUUAGAAUUAAAAAAAUAAGAAGGUCAAAAAAUUGAGCACAUUGAUAUAAUCUUAAAUCCUAAGUUUCAAACAUUGCAAAAGACCAAGCUUUAUUGGUUAUAUAUGCUACACAUAUUUUUUAUAAUAAAAAUACUUCAAGCAGACUUCUAAUCUAAUAUAAGGAUUUUAAAGAUGUAUUUGAUAAGAUGAAUGCAAAUAUAUUUUUUAAAAUAUUUUUCUUAUAAUUGUUCAAUUGAUCUUCAAGAAGGAGCUCAACCACUAUUUGGACCAAUCUAUAGUUUGUAACAAAAUGAAUUGGCUUUACUUAAAGAAUAUAUUAAUAAGAACUUAUAUAAGAAUUUCAUAUGCUAAUUAAAAUUUUAAGCAAAUUCUCUAAUCUUGUUUGUUACAAAAAGUGAUGAAUCACUUUAGAUGCAUAUAAAUUAUUAAAGACUUAAUAAGAUUACCAUUAAGAAUAAGUGUCUUCUUUGAAGAACAUGAAUCACAAAAUAAUCAAAGAGUCAAUACAUUCUUGUGUCACUAGAAAAUAGUAGAUAUUUAUUCAAAGAGAGUUAAAAUAUUAAAAUUAUAAUAGCUAUUACCAAAGACAAGAAGACUAGAGAUUCUUGAAAUAAGACAAAGUACAAAAAAGAUGUUGACAAAAGUGAGAAAAGCCUCACUUUUGCCUUCAUAUAUACUAUCUAUUUAGGGAGCUAUGUCGCAAUGUUCUAUAGAUUAGAUAACAUGUAUAUAAUUUGUAAAGCAAAUUUCCAAUACAUGCAUAACAUGACCAAUAUGUAUGAUAUGUGAUCAAUUUGUAAACUAAGUAGUCAAUAUAUUUGACAUGUGUCCAAUGUUUUGGCCAAGUUUUCAACCUACCAAUCAUCUAUCAAUAUUUAGAAAGUCAAAUCAAUAAAUAUUAUUGCAUCUACUUACUUCUAUUUAUUUCUACAUAAUUCAUUUAAUCUAGGUAAUUUCUAAUGUAAAUAUUUAUGUUUGUUAUAUUAUCCUCCUCCCUCCCCUCUUCCUUCUAUAUACAAGUUCUACAAUGAACAAUAAUCACAUGUUUCAAAAGUCAAAGAUGUAGUGAAUUAUAUUUGCCAUACACUCUAAUCUUUGUUCUUAUUAAAGGUAGUUAAUAGGUCAUCUUAAUUAUUGAUAAAGUCUUAUACUAAAGCAAGAAGACCACUCCAUUACUUGAUUAUUGUUGAUACUUUUGUAACUUCUUCCAAAUAAAAAAAAAAUUAAAAAAAAAAAAAAAAAAAAAAAAAAAAUGUUAGAAGUAGUUUCUACCUCUAAUAAUAUUAUCAAACAUCAAGAUUCUCUUCUAUUUUUUUUUGAAACUAAAUUCCAUAUAUUUUUCUAUUUAUUUAAAGAAAAAUAUGUUGUUUUUGAAGGUCUUCAUGUCUAUUAUGUCUUUUUAAAGGCUAAGACAAUUUUAAUACCUUGUCUAAUAAUUUAGCAAAAAAUAGCUUUUAAAGAUAAUUUGGAGGAUUGUUUUGGCAAAGUUUUGAUCCAUGUAUAGAAAACAUGAUAUAAUUUAUAUGGUGAUAUAUUUGGAAUCUUUUAUUAAAUUAAAAAAAAUUAUUAUUAUUAAAAAGAAUUAUGUUUAUAUUAUUGAAAAACUAAUUACACUAUUUAAUAUUAUCUAAAGAAGUGAUGUAACUUCAAAAUAAAGAAUAUGAUUAUUAAAAAAGAUAAUAUAUCAAAAAAUAAGCUUAUCUAGCUGUAAUAGGGACCAUGCAAUUGAAAUCUUAUAUAAUAUCUAAUAAAGAUCUUAUUUUUUCUUCAAAACCAUUUUUUUUUACAAUAGGUAUUAGUUAAGGAUCUAAACAUCACAAAGCCUUUAUUUUGCUAGAUUUAAGAGCCUCAACUUGUUUUUUAGAUGAAAAAUUAUUAAAAAAGACAUAACAUACUUUUAAUAAAGAAAACUAAACAUGUUCAUAUAGAAGUCAUAACUAAUUGUCUAAUAUCUUUUGACAAUAUUAUCUAUAAAAUAUUUCUUAUAAAAUUAACAAUUAGAAAUUAUAAUAGCUAUUUAUAAUAUAAUUUGUGGUAUUUAAUAUAAUUAAUUUUUUUUCUAAUUCAAUCAUUUUAGAUUUAUUGCGGCUAAGAAAGUAUAACCCUCAAAUAUAUUAGAUUUUUUAUAGUCUUGACUUUUUUUUAAAUGUAAUUAAGAGUAGUGUUAAAUUAGUAUAAAAUCAAAAUUCUAAUGCAAUAAAAUCUAUAUUUGUAGGUGUAUGAGCUUUUUUUGUAAUAAAAAAUAAAUUACCUUAUUUUAUUUAUGCCAUACCUAUUUCUAAUAGUUGAAAGACUUCAAGUGAUAUUCCAAGCUAAUAUCUAGAUUAUAAAGAUAUUUUUGAAAAAAAAAAAAAAAAAAAAAAAAAAAAUCUAAAUAUUCUUCUAAAAUAUUGAUCUUAUAAAUAUUUAACUAACCUUCAAGUCGAAGUUUAACUAUCAUGUACCAAUCUAAAUUUAUCACAAAAUAAAUUGAUUGAAGUAAAAAAAAUAUAUUGAUAAAAAUUUGGCUAAAAUUUUCAUAUUCUAUUCAAAAAAAUUAGUAGGAGCAUCUAUCUUAUUUGUGAAGAAAAAAAAGAUAGAUUUUUACAAAUAUAUGUGAUUAUUGAGGAUUUAACAAGAUUACUAUAAUAAAUGAAUAUUUUCUAUUCUUGAUCUUUGGACUUCUUGAUUAAUUAAAUCAAGCUAAGAUCUAUAACAAAAUAGAUUUACAAUGAGCAUACAAUCUAGUACAUAUCAAAAAAAGAGAUGAAUAGAAGAUUAUACCUUGAACCAAGUAUGGACAUUUUGAAUAUAAUAUUAUGACUUUUGGACUCUCAAAUCCAUCAAUUUUUUUUUAACAUUUAAUGAAUGAUAUUUUUUGAGAAUUUUUGAAUGAUUUUAUUAUUCAUUAUGUAGACGACAUUUUAAUCUACUCUAAGAAUAUAAAAAAGUAUGAGCUUCAUAUUUAUCGUGUGUUAUGGAUGCAUGACUAUAUGCUAAGAUAAAAAUGCAUAUAUUUCACACCACUUAAGUUUAUUUCUUAGGAUAUAGCAUUUCAAAUGAUGGCUUUAUGAUAGAUUCUAAAAAAGUCUGGACUAUCAUCGAUUAAAAGGUUUUAAAAAUAAUAAAAGAUAUUCAACAUUUUUUAAGAUUUGUUAAUUACUAUCAGAUCUUCAUUGAAUUUUUUUUUCAAAUUAUAGCUCUUUUUACAUGUCUCACAUAUAAAGACAAACUUAAGUGAAGCAAAUAAGUUGAAAUACUAUUUGAAGCUUUAAAGACAACUUUUAUUUUUACACCAAUCUUAUAUUGCAUUAAUUUUUUCAAGGCAUUUUUUGUAGAAAAAAAUAAAUCAAACUUUUUUUUAAGAGUAGUAUUGUCACAAAUAGGAAUAAAUAACAAACUCCAUCUACUAGCUUUUAAUUCCAACAAAUAUUUUAGCACUCAAGAUCUAUAAUAGAAUCCAUAAUAAAGAACUUCUUAUAAUUAUGGAUUCAUUUCAAGAAUGGAAUUAUUAUGUAGGAGGAACUUCUAAUCUAAUCAUUAUGUAUAUAGAACACAUGAACUUGAAAUAUUUCAUGUUAGCAUGUGUUUUAAAUUAUUUCUUAGCCCAUUGCAGCAUGACUUUGUCAAGAUUUGAGAUCAAGGUUAUGUAUUGGCUAAAAAAACAACAAGAUUUAUUAGAUGUCAUGUCUAGAUAUUCUUAUCUUAUAUCAAAAGAAGAAGAUACUACUUUUGAGUAAUAAAAAAGUAAUUUUGUUUAAGCCAAAACAACUUCAUCUUCAAGCAAUGAAAUCAAUACUAAGUAUUGAUUCAAAUUUUUCUCAAGCAACUUAAAUCAAGUAUAUCCUUUGAUCUUCUUAUUUGUGAUAUUAAGAACAAAUUUUUUAAGUCUUAUAAUAUUUCUAAGUUUGAAUUUAAAGAUAAUCAAUUUUUUUAAAAAAAUUACUUAUAUAUUCUAAAAAAAUAAAAUACAACUAUGUAUUUUUCAAGUUCAUCAUGACUUUCUAGCUACAAGAAAUUUUGGAUAUAAUAAGACCUUAAAAUUGAUCUUAAAAGAAUUUUAGUGGCCUAAAAUAUGAAAAUCAAUGAAAAACUUUGUACAAUUAUGUAAUAUUUUUUUUAAAUCAAAAAUUCCUUGUUAUCAAUCUUACAGUCUUUUACAACCACUACGUAUAUCAAAAUAACUAUGGUCUUUUAUUUCUAUGGACUUUAUGAUAGAUCUACUAAUUUCAAGUUACUAUAACUCUAUAGUUGUGAUAGUAGAUUAUUUCACUAAGAUAGUACAUUUUCAAUCAUAAACAAAAUCUAUCACAUGUAAAAACAAAUAGCUAAAUUUUUCCUUGAAAAAAUCUAUUGGUAUCAUAGAUUACUUAAGAAUAUUAUAUUUAAUAGAAGAAUCUAAUUUAUAUUAAGAUUUUAAAAAACCUUGUCAAGAUUUAAAAAUAAUUUGAGAUAAAAGAAGUUUUACACUCAAGGCAGUGGUGACUUAAGUUGGAAUAUCUUGUUCAUUGGCGUGGAUAUAAUAUUAGUGAAUGCAUAUGUAAGCUAAUAAAGAAUCUAAUAAAUUUAUGAAAAAAAUUAAAACUUUUUAUCAAUGACAUCCAUGAAAAUCAAAAUAAAAAAUUGAAUUAUUUUUUGAUAUAAAUACAUAUAUAUAUAUAUAUAUAUAUAUAUAUAUAUAUAUAAUAAAGAUUAUAUUCUAUCUUUUAUCCUUAAUUAUGAUUAUUUAGUAUUUGUGGCACAAUUAAGAUAGAGAACCAACAACCAAAAAAAUUGAGUCAAGAACUAUUAUUUGUUAAGUUACUAGACAAGAUAAUAUAAUUAUCACAACCUUCAAGACAAUAUAAUAGAAAUGAAGACUUUUUAAAAUAACACCUUCUUUUUUAAAUAUAUGGUGAGAUAUAAUGUGUUUAAUAUUACAAUCUUAAAAGAGAUUCUUAAUGUUUGGUGAUAGUAUUGGAUGUAAGAAAUACCUUUUACAAUGUUCCAAAUGUUUUAUUUGAGUGAAGUUACAAAAGCCUUGAUAAUAAUCAAAUAUCAAGGUGGUCUUUUUGUUCUAGUAUGGAACAUUAUCGAUGGCUAAGAGAACCUAUCAACUACCUUUGAAGUGAAUAAAUAUAAUUUGUCGCAUCUUAGAUUUCUUUAAAAUGUAAUCACUAUGCUUUGUAGAACUCGUCCCUAGAAGAUGGAAUAAUGUCAUGGUUAUAUAUAUUUAUUCUAACGAUUAUUUAAAUAAUAUGAAUAAAUAGAAGUAGAUUAAAAUAAAUUAAUUUGAUAAUACCUAAUAGAUAAGCUUCUUAAAAGCUUCAUAGAUACAACUUUGAUUAUAUACAUGUUUAUAGUUGAUUAGUUGGUUGAAUACUUGGCCAACAAGUUAAUCACAUGUUACGCAUGUUGAUAACUUGUAGUACAAGGUAACUAUAUGGGGCACAUAUAAAAAACUUUUUUUGCAAAUUAGAUACAUAUCAUGCAAGUUAGGCAUGUGUUGGAGGUCCUAUAGAGCAUCGCCAUGUAUAUAUAUAUAUAUGUAUAUAUGCAAAAGUGAGGCCUUCUUCAUUCUUAUCAAUUCCUUUUGUACUUUUAAUGUAAUUUCAAGGGUCUUCAGUUAUCUUAUCUUUUGGCAAUAUCCAUUCCAAUUUCUUCUUGAAUAUAUAUACUUUUAUAUUUUAUUUUGUCAACUUUCUUUUAGAAAUAUCUCACAUGUUUAUUUGUAUUCAUAGAAUUCUUGUCUUUGACAGAUACAUACAAAGUGUAUUCAAAUAGCAUACAUAAACAUUGAAAAAUAAUAAAUAUACUUUAUGUCUACAUUAAUGCUUCUAGUAUAAAUAGCCCUUCGAUAUUUCAUUCAUCCGAUCGGAUGUAUUUGGCAGUUUUUUUUUCAUCCAAACGACCUCCUCUCUACCCACCAGUCCAACUUCGACUUCUACGACGAAGGCAUCUUCACAAAGUCAAACAACACAAAAAGUCUCGGUUUGGAUGAAAUCCACCCAAGGGGACUGUGUGAACACGAACCCACUCCGUCAACCCACUCACGGGAACACACGUUCUUACGUUCCCCAUCCUGAAAUGCCAACUGGACCAGCCAGCCACGUAGGAUUUUACGCCAGGAGGUGGGAACGUGGACAACCGAACCUAUCUGGCACGGUGAGGUGUCCGACGAUGGCGGGAAAAAGAUGCCUUGGACCAGAUCGGUGAGAGCCUUUUCUGCCCGUUGACCGCGGGAAGCGACAGCUAGCACGCGUUACACCCCAGUUCCUUCUGAGCUGGCAUCUUCGGGUGGGUGCGUACGUGGCACAGCGUGAAAUUCGACCCUUACGGGCGCAUGAAAAAACGCCAUCUAACUACCAUCCAAAGGACGAGAAAUUGGGUGGACUGCGUCUUUUUCCGUGGAUGAAAUCAGCUGACAUUGGAUGGAUGGGGGGGUUUGGUGGGCUACUCUUCCCAACACUUGAAUUAUUCUUGUGGAUUCUGGGCCAUUUUUUGGCUUAAACUCAUAACUCUCUUAGCUUAAGACAUGAUUAGAUUGGCCCAAUAAAGCUCACAACACUACUUGUUAUAUAUAUAUAUAUAUAUAUAUUUAUAUAUAUAUGCAUGUAAGUGUGUUUGUGUGUUUUAGUAAUAGUAAUAAAAUUGGCAUGUGAAAAUUGGGUUGGAUUGAUGAGUCUAGAUGGUAUUAAUUAGGAUUGAAAACGUGUGCUGAAUUUGAUGAUGUGCUAAAGAUAUAUUAAGAAAGACAUUCUAAAAGAAAUAUAUAUAUAUAUAUAUAUAUAUAUAUAUUUUCAAAUCCGUUUCAUUACUUAUGAUUAUUGCAAUGACUGUCCCUCCAAACUCAAGUAUAUUCACUACACAUAGCAAAAAUAAUAUAUAUCUCAAGGAAUAUACAAAUUCUUAAAUUCACUUCUUUUAUUUAAUGCCUCAAUCUAAAUCCUAGGUUUAAUUAUUCACAUUUGUUAAUUUCUGCUGGAGUUACGCAUAAUUGAAAUAAUAUUAAUACAGUCAUGUUUGCAGCAUAAAAUAAUAUUUCAUGUAUUGAAUUUAUUUAUUAGACUAUCACAAUGGCAAAUGUAUUAUCUUGUUUUUAUUUUUUAAAUAAAGUAUGACUGAACAAGCUAAUUUUGGUUUUCAUUUUCUAACUUAACAAUAAACACCAAUACAAAUGAAUAAAUACUUGCAAACCAAAUGGCUCAUAUUAUUUAAUUCCUACAAACACCACCAUAUUUAUAACAUUAUUUUAAUUGCAGAGUAGAUUUUUUUCAAAAUAAAAUUUGAAAUUAACAAAAAAAAAAAAAAAAAAAAAAAAAACCUGCGGGUUUCGAAAAACUAACAACUUUAUAUGUCCUUUCAAAAAAUUAACAUUAAUUUUACAGAUAUUGUUAUUAUUUUUACUCAUUCUUUGUGAGAAAAAUUUCGAAAUAGAGAGAUGUCAAUGUGAGGAUAUCAAAUUUUAUGGAACUUUGUUUUAGAUAAUCUUGCCAUGCAACCAAAAUAUAUUUUUGGCAUUAGUUCAAUUUAUCUUAAACAACAAAAGAAUUGUUUCAAACUUGAAGUAGGUUUAUCAUAGAAUCAUGCAAUUUGAAAAUGUCUUCUUUCACAACUUUACAAUGUUAUUACAUUGUGAAUACAUUUUGAAUUGGUCAUUUACAUCAAAUCAUGUUCCCUAAUUGUUAGUUGGUACACAUUAAAAAUAGAACUAGUUUUAAAGAAUAUACUUUCUACAUUUAUUGAGUGCAUGCUUAUGUUUCAAUGAUAUUUUUAUUAAUUGAUUUGUGUGUGUACAUGAUCUUAGGCUGGUUGUUAUUUGAAUAUAAAUACAAACACAUAUCACAAUGAUUUUUCAUGAGUUCAUCAAAUACAAUUCCCAUAAACAAUACAAAAUUAAAUAAAAGUAUGAUAUAGUGAUAUAUAAUUACAGAUAAAAAAGAACAAAACUUUAGUUUGAAAUUACUUCAAACCACUAUAAUAUGGCAUAUUGGUAUGAAGAAGUUCAAAAUUUUGUUGAAAAAUCUCCAAUUUUUCUUAAUGAAUAUUACCACAUAGAUAACAAGUCUCUGA